rnacentral:lncRNA from 1 species
UGUCGGCAUUGUGCACUACACAAUAGCAAAAGCGAUACUAGAUGGAUGAGAUCAAUUUGUUACUUUUAUACUACAUUCACCAUUUAGCAUCAAUAGUUAAUAUACAAAAUGAAAAAUAUUUCAAGUUGUAUAAUAAAGUGAGAGUAUGCUUUAGUCAUGCUUGGUCUUUAGUAUGACCACCUAGCCCCGUUGAGGGGAUCUCGAUCGGACUGUCAUUGUUGUUGUGUGGAUGAGGGCGGGGGGAGAAGGCCUGGUUUCUCCCGUAGCAAAUGGAUAUAGUCGUCACUGAUGUUGUCGGUGUUUGAGAGCUUGGUUAAGUGAACCUGAAGAGGCGGGAAAUAUGUCAUUUUUCUCUCUUGGAUCAAAUGUCCCUUGUAAAGCGUUAUCUUUCUACCGUGGAUAUGAGAAAAAUAAUUUAAAUCAACAUCCGAGUAAUAAUUGCCAUAACUAUUAUUUGAGUCUGCUGGUGGCACAUGUGUUCUCUGCAGCGUGCCAGUGGUUGUGACACGUACGAGAGUGAGUGCGUACAUAUGUGGCUGUAUAUAGACAAUGCAGCUUGGCCACAUGUGGUGGGCAUGCCACUUAUUGCAAAAAGACCUGAGAAGAGAAGCAACAUCUUUGCCCUUGUGAAACACAACACACCACCGGCACUAGUAUGCAUAUUUAGCUGACAGGUGAACACAGUUACUACCUAGCUAGGGUCCCUGGGUGCUUAUAAAUAACAUCCCUGUGGAUGCUCCUUUAAAGGCACACCACUCACGCAGUCACGCUUAGCGUCGAUCUUCACACACUUCUUCUUCAACAUGCCUCCAGAUUCACCUACCCUCGCUCUCAAAGCGGCCACCAUUCUCGCCAUGCUUGCCAUGGUGAUCCUUCCAUCCGUGGGGAGCUCCCCGUCGCUGGGCCAAGAAGAACUAGUAACGACCCCGGCACCAGCAUCGGGUCCGGCGCUGGCGAUGCGGUGCAGCGAGUGUGGCCCACACUGCACAGGGAUGUGCAGAGUCUCUGUUCCCCCGAAGUGCCGCAAGUACUGCGACGUCCCCAGCUGCGAGGACUGCCGGUCUUCCGCGAUCGGCAAGUGCAGGGUAGGUUGCACCACUAGUAGCUGUGACUGCGACGGUGAGGCGACCCGGUCAUGCUAUGGCUUUUGCUCUGGCAGUUCUUCGUGCGCGGACUGCAUGAGGCUAACUAGUGAGCAGUGCACGAGUGAAUGCAACGGCAAGUGCGCCACCACUUGUACGAACAAAAUCAACCAAGGCAAAUAGGUCGGCUGGGCCUCUUGGUAUGUAUCCAUACCAUCUACGUAUGGUAUGGAUGUUGUAACUGCCAUAAUAUCGUACCUUUUUUGCAGUCAAAUAAAAAUCUGGUACCUUUCCUUUACUCCUUGUCAUAAAAUACCUCGCAAAUUAUUACUUGAUGGUAAUUUCAUUUGGAAUUACAACGCGCAUGUCAUGUGAUAUUUGUAUCUUUUACCAUAUUUAGUUUUUCGUUUCAUAGGAUAUAUUAGAUUAAAGACCUGAACAUAGAUGGUGGUGGUGGUGCUACCACACUGCCACUACUGACAAUGUUGCCACUUACUACUAGCACCACUACUACAAAUGUUGUCACUUACUACUAGCACUACCAUUACCACCACCACUACCUAAAUUUCAGUGAAAUGGAUCAUUCAAGAUCUACCACCAACACCACCACUACAACCUAAAUUUCAGUGAAAUGUUAGUACAAUAAAAGUAGCACCGACAUACAAUGGUUCAAGCAAAAUUUCAUUAUCAUAGAAUCAUCUGUGAUAAACUUGAGUAAGUAUGGUUGAUAGGAAGCAAUAGCUUCAUUUUCUCACAAUAAUUAUAAAAGACAAAUUGGAGACAUUAAAAUUUGAUUGCUAGCAUGAUCAGAUGCAUAAAGUCGUGCUUCGUGAAUAAAUUAAAAUUUUCAAUUGUAUGGAAGCAAGGCAUCAACAAAGUUGUGCUUUGUGAAUAAAUUAAGAUUUAAAUUGUAUGGAAGCAAGGCAUCAACGGGAAAAGCUUAUUUAUUAACUGAAGUAUGGCAAGUGUUAGGAAGCAUGAAAUUAUAUGGCAGCUCAAGAUAACUAUUUUUGGUUGGGAGAUAAAACAUUUGUAAUGUAGAACAUACUAAUACUGUGGCCAAUAAGAGGAUGCAUGUUUUGUUACGCAUAGAUAGGAAUUUAACCGAUUUACUAUUGUCUUGCACAAUGCACCAUUAGGUAUGAAUGUGACACAAACGGGAGAAACUGAACUCCCCGACGUGGGAUAUGGCGCGUGGUCAUGACGGGAAUGGAUCGAGCCAGGGUCAUCGUCACUCCACACGAUAUCACCUCCAUUGUCAGCCAUCAUCGCGAGGACACACAAAACUAACAGAGAAAUCACAAUCUACAUGCCAUGCAAAGAUCCAGGGUGCCCCAUCUCUCUGAGUAAGGGUAUAUGUUUUUUUAAUAAGGGCGGUAAAUGUGUUUGUUUAGUAACAUGGGUUUUUUUCUUUGAGGGAAAUGAUAGAUGGGGUUGAAACAGAGGCCCACAGGUGGAGCGAGUAAUUAGGCCCAACAUACAGGAACCAAAUUCUGAACUGGGCCAUGUUUUUCCCAGACCCAACGUCACAAGCCCAGCUCACAGUUGGCCUUUGUCUCAAAAAAAAAUACCUCACAGUUCGCCUAUCUGCGUCCUCCUCGCCAUGGCUCAAGGUACUCACUCACCCCCACUACCGCCAUGGCUCAAGGUACUCACAGUUCGGCACCAGCUUCNNNNNNNNNNNNNNNNNNNNNNNNNNNNNNNNNNNNNNNNNNNNNNNNNNNNNNNNNNNNNNNNNNNNNNNNNNNNNNNNNNNNNNNNNNNNNNNNNNNNNNNNNNNNNNNNNNNNNNNNNNNNNNNNNNNNNNNNNNNNNNNNNNNNNNNNNNNNNNNNNNNNNNNNNNNNNNNNNNNNNNNNNNNNNNNNNNNNNNNNNNNNNNNNNNNNNNNNNNNNNNNNNNNNNNNNNNNNNNNNNNNNNNNNNNNNNNNNNNNNNNNNNNNNNNNNNNNNNNNNNNNNNNNNNNNNNNNNNNNNNNNNNNNNNNNNNNNNNNNNNNNNNNNNNNNNNNNNNNNNNNNNNNNNNNNNNNNNNNNNNNNNNNNNNNNNNNNNNNNNNNNNNNNNNNNNNNNNNNNNNNNCUGCGGUCCUGUCUUCAACCUCUCUGGUGUCCUCUUCUGACCUCCCGUCUUACUUCCUCCGGCCUCGUCAAUGGGUACGACGACGGAAGCCAGUCCGGCCUUCCCGUCAACACAAGGUAUCAGUCCUGUUCGUCCAUUUCUUCCGCGAUUCGUCUCACAAGAAUUUAAUUGAAGGGGCACGCCCAAUGGAUGAAUCAGCAAGGUUAGGAAACAGAAUUCAGUUGCAUAGCCUGACGGACAGUGAUGUAGAUGUACAUAUGUGCUUUUCUAGCUUAACAACUCUGCGCUUUCUGUGGAUAUCACUUCAAAUAAUCAUCAAAUUUUCCAUCUGCGACAUCACUAUCAGGCGGACGGGAGGCAAUUGGCUUCGAAGUUCCGUUUCUUGAUGAAGUUCAUCCGCUCAGUGGCGGAGUUAUAUCCAGAAACAGAAAGGUGCCAUAGCACCCGGGUGGCCCGACACCCCCUAAUCCGGUUCGUCGAGUGACUUCAAGAUUCGCGUCGUGGAAUAGUUAGUGCAAGCCGCAUGCAUUGUCAGGUUAAUUUACUAGGCAAUUUGCAGAGACAAAACAGGACCUGUAGUAGCCUGUAGCAGGCAGUGUAGGGCCGGCAGUAGUGGGCACGGGUAGGCUAGAGAUAGCCCUGGACGAGGCUAGGUGGCCUAUCGGGAGAAAAGACAACACAUUCAAAAAUCAAGGACGUCGCUAACUGUCACAUGUGUGGCAGGAAAGGAGACGCACUACACGUCUCUUAUGCAAAUAGAUUACCACGUCAUCGCAUGCAUGCAUGCGAGAAUUGUUUUUGAUUUUCAGUUUUUAAAAUGUUUUAUCUCUUAAAUGAAAAAUCCGAUUGAAGAUUCGUUUUCAUCAUUAAAUCCCUCGCGACGAGAUCUACAAAACUAGAUCUCAUAUCGAUAUAUUUUGGUGAAUUUUUUUGGUCAAAAGUUGCCAUGUCUAUUGCACAUGAAUUUCCAUGAUAUUUACAUUGAAGUUGCCAUGAUAUGUUUCAACUAUUUUCUUUUACAUUAAAAUGUAAAUUUUAACAUAUUAUAAAACGGAGAAUUAAGAAAUUAGACUUGCCAUGCACCAUAAACUAAAAUUGCCAUGAUACAUGCACUUAAAAUUGUCAUGGUUCAAUAAAAAAAUAUUUUCAUGGUCAAAGUACUGGAAUUGCCAUCAUCAAAAAACUAAAAUUGCCAUGAUCUACAAACUAAAAUUGCCACAUGACAACUUUAGCUUAAGCACUUUGGCAACUAUAGUGUAAACAUCAUGGCAACUUCCGGGCAAAAAAAAAAUCAUCGAAACAUAUCAACAUGGGGUCUAGUUUUGAAGAUCUCGUCGAGACGGAUUUAAUGGUGAAAACGGAUUUUUAGUUUACUUUUUUAUUUAGGAGAUAAAACAUUUUUAAGCCGAAAACCAAAAAGAUUUCUGCUGAUGUCAUCUAUUUAUACGUGGCAAAAUGAGUGGUGAUGGAGGCGUGUGAGCGAUCUGCAAACGGCCACACGUGUGGGCGUUAGUUUUUCCGAAAAUCAAUACACUGUGGAUGCAUUGGCAGCAUUAGAUUGCAAAUAUGAUCGUAGCCAUUAAUAUUCUAAUCCCACAUUUUCAUGAUCUAAUUUCUAAAGGACUGGACAACAUGUUAUAGCCUUAUAUAGGGCUGAGCCACCAAAUCCACAUUUCUCUCGGUAUAAUUUCUAUAUGUUAAUCUGCAGCAUCUCCCGAUGAACCUAUUUUAGGAUAAGAAUUUUUUUAGAGCAUUUUUUGAUGUUUUUUUUUAUAAAAUCAAAUACAAUUCAGUGCAUUCCACAGUAGGUUUUCUGCCCCUAGCUAGUGGUAAAGAACAAGUUCAAUUCAGUCUUAUGAUGUUAUUAUUGAUGCCUUGUUCAAAUCAAAUGGACAAGCAUGUACUGUACUAAUCAGUGAUUUAUAUCUUAAUACCGAAAAUUUGUGCUGAUUUAUGAAUUUGUUGAUCCCGAGGUUCUGCUAAUCCGUGUACUAAUAUUUUUUUUGGGCAAUUUGGGUUAUUUUGGUCUCAUUAUGAGGACUGUGCUAAUAUGUGUUACAAAUAUGUUGUUGUGCCGACUAAUUUGUGCUAAUUCUGAAAAUAUGUGCGUCUAAUCGCCAAUAAUAUCAUGUGUAAAACCAAAAUGUCAUCGUUCUUGAGGACAUGAAAGCGCUGAUUCCAUGCUUUUCCUGCUGAUAUGCACUUUAGUAUAUGAAAAUGUACACUUACGUGGUGUUUAAAUUUUCAACUCACACUUAUAGAGACGUGCAGUGCACCAGCCAACUGGCGCAAGCUGUACAUUGACGGCAUACAGUUUCGGUCUUCCGGUCAACAUAAGUUAUCAUUCGUGCUAGUCCGUCUUUCUGUGACACGAUUAGCAUGACUUAAGAGGCACACCCAUCUACGUGCCAGUUGCCUGAAUCAGGAGGGCGAGGAAGCAGAAUUCAGUUGUGUAGCGCAACAGUGAUAUAUGUCUGCACUUUGCUAGCUGAAUAACUCUGUGCUCUAUGUGUACGUCACCUCAAGUACUCAUCAAGAAUUUACUCCUGCACGCGCUAUGCAGGUGGAGGAGAAGCAGUUCGCGUGGAAGUUCCGUGUCUCUGAUGUCUGAGAAGAAAGCUCUUACAGAGUUUUCGUCCGCUUGGUGGACUGGAGCGACAUCCAAGUUAAUUAUAGUGUCCAGUCAUCCCUAUAUUUCAGUGUUUCUUCUGUUUUGUACCAUCACAUUUCAUAUGUGCAUCGGAGGAAAUGUGCAUUCUACAUGAUGGAGAGGAUCAUGUCACACAGUCCCCAUUUACAAAGCCAUAGGCAGUGGCUGAAGAAUUUUUCUUCUAGUGUCACUGUUGUUCUAACUCUCUGUCUUCGAUUUUGGUGCUUCCGUAGUACGGUUGCAAAGCUAGGCUUCAUCUGAUUUUAGUUAGCUAAGCUGAUAAAGAGAAUUCCACAUGGCCCUUUAUUUCCAGCUUUCACUGUCUCACAAUAACAACACAUAUUAAGCUCACCAAACUAGAUCCAUACUCAUAACUUACCUUUCAUCAUUGAAUAACUGGAGAUUGCCAAGUUGUCUUUUAUCAUGUCAGUAUAUUAAGUAUUAUGUAUUUUCAUAUGAAGAAGAAAUAAUCAUCUGGGAUGUGGAGUUUCGGUGCUCGGGCGCAGCUGUACCCGAAAUCCCACUCGUUGGUUGUCGUCUGGGGAUUCCCAUAAUGUCCUCUGACAAGUCUGCAGCGAUGCGUUAGUAAUUCGGUAUACGGCGCGGCAGCGUAUGGUACAGUGCCUGGGCGCGGGCCCGAAUCGUAGGUGUGGCGAACGUCCCGUGUGCUUAUAAAGUUAUAAUUCUGGUCCGUUGACCAGAUAGUUUAGCUGUAGGCUGAGCCGUGGAGCAUGGGUUUGGCUCAGGAUCGCGUGUCUCGACGGCGUGUGUGACACACGAUCGUGGGGCCGCAGUUAUGGAGAGGCAGCUGCCGACAACUGAACCCCGCAAACCCUUCCUCUCGGCGGUUCUCGAAACCAGCCACCGCCGCGGGUCAGCUAUAAUCCAUCCCCAUUGCCAUUGAUGGCUGUUGCGGUAAGCGACGAUGGAGGACGCUGGCCUGGACUUCCUGCUGGACGCGGUCGACAGGUAAGAGAACUAUGCCCAAAUUCGAGAUCUAUCGUUUUUUUGGCGGCGAGGAGGAUACUGGUCGACACCUGAAUAUUUGGUGCUCCUCCACGUCUUGGACAUGUAUUUGCAGAUUUCCCCUCUGUAAAGACUUUGCAGAUUGCUUGGAGCACCCAGAUCCGGUUCCUCUGGCGCGGAUUGAUGCGCCGAGCGUUCAGCAGUCUGAAUCGAACGCUGGUUCCGGGUGCGGGCAGCUAGUUGGCGGCUGUAGCCAGGAGCGGCAAGCAGGCGAUGGGAGCCGUCGCCGUGAGACAUCUCCGGCGAGGUCCGCACAGUCAACAGACCAGUCCCGCAAGGGUGAACCCGGAGGCGCUGGGGUGGACAAAAAGGUUCUGUAACCAUUGCAUUCCGUCUGCUCUGAAUUUUUUCCUGGAGUGCAACUCCAUUUGUCCUAGUACGGAGUGUAGUUCACUGCCAUGAUAUCUGUAACAAACUGUGACAGACUGACAGUAAUUGUUUUUUGAUGAACGGUUGGCAGAUACCAGGCAUGCUGAAUGUUGUCUCCAGCAGGGGAUUAGUCACUCGAUUUUAGGCAUGUCAACAAAGGUGCAUGUAUAGGUACAGACAAGGAAAUGUUAUUCAGAGUUCGUAGAUUCAAAAAUCUAGAAACCCAUAAGAAGUGGAACUCUAGUUGACAAAAUAAGCAGGAGGCAUGAUUUUUGAAUUUCACGGCAGACCAUCAAUAGUACAUAGGAAAAAUGUAUUUCCUGUUUAAACUGUGUUUGCUUUCGUUCAGGUGUCAAUUUUUUUGAAUAAGUUGAAAGUUUGUUUCCAUGGUUAGUGUGAGCAUCCCCGUCAUCAGAAAACAUAUUUUGCAUCUGAUAUCCUGAACUGCUUUUGGCGCAUUUCAGGUUACUGAGACUUAUAAUUAUGUGUUGUUCGAGUACCAGCCCCGCCUUCCAGGCCCUGUCUCCUGUUGUGCACAACUUACCAAGCUUGCAUUUUGAUGUAAAAUCAGGUUGCGUCUUGACAGUGCGCCACCAGACAGAACCCCGCGUGCAUCAAGGAUGAGUGCUCUAGAGACGUCGUUUCGCAAGUUUGCCGAGGAACCAACGAAAAGUGUGGUUCGUCCUGAAUUAGGAUUAAAUUUUGAUUCACUUGGUGAGGCGUAUAACUUCUACAAUUUGUACUCAAGGGAGAUCGGUUUCGGGAUAAGAUAUGGGAAAAGCAUGUUGAACGCAGAGAUGGUGAAAUCAAUGCAGGAGAUUGUUGGGAGUAGUCUAGGAAACAUUCUUGCACAUUGGUUGGGUUUCGAGUUUUGUUGCAUUAUAUGGAAGUGUUGGGAGUAGUCUAGGAAACAUUCUUGCAGAUUGGUUGGGUUUCGAGGACCGUCAGGGAAACAUUCUUGCAGGGGGGCUGCCUGGGAAUGGUAAAGUUACGAUACUAGCAAAUGGUGGUGCUGACUGCGAAAUGGGCCCAACUCAGUCGGUCAGUGUGAAUGCCCUAGUAGGAUUAGCUCCACCAGAUAAACAACGAGGGGCUGGCAGGCCAACGAAUAGCUGAGAUAAAGCACCAUAUGAGGGUUUGAGCAGGCGAACACGGUUCUGCAGUAUUUGUAGGUGCGAAGGACACAAGAGGACAACCUACCCCGACCGGGGAGAUGCCGCGAAGAAACGGCGCAGACCAGGGAAGUGCAAAAAAUGUGGCAUGAAAGGACAUCGCCGGAACACGUGCACGUGACCAAUUGGUGGGGUGCAGAAUCAAAAUUGUUAAACUAAUUAGUUUUAAAUUCUGUACUUGCAGUAUGAGGAUUUUCCGGAUUUUCCGGUGUAUCUCAGUGAGAUGUGCUCCAACGCUUGUUCCUCCAGUUCUAGACAUGCAACUAACUUGUGUAAAGGAGAAGAACUUGGUUCGGCAUUGUUGAAUAUCUGUGGUGGAUACACAUUUUACGUUGCUGUGUGUGUUCUGAUCAGGAUUGCAAUGUUAUUUCUUUUCUGCUCACCAUGCGUGUCUGGGACUGAUGCGUUGUGUGUGUUUAUGCUCCAAGGGAUUCAAAAUUUGAAUCAUCUGUCGGAGUAGAUGAAGAAUCGUGAGGGGUUCAGGGGUGUCCUCCAACGCCCGCCCCACCCCCAUGAAGACAUGGCGAGCAGCUCAUUCCUUAGCAGGCAGCAGGCAAGGUUUGAAAAACCAGCACGGUGACCUGUGUUGAGUGGCGCCUACACCUGCAGGCGGGACGACGAGGAGCUCUGCCGGCGGUGGCGAGGGAGCAUGUAAGGAAGCACAGGUACGAGGUGUGGUUAAGUUUUUGUUUCGCUUGGUAACCUCUGCAUGCUUCGGCGUCUGUAUCUUCUGCAGCUGCCUGAAGCAAUUAGGACGAUGGCGUCAACCACUGGGGGAGCUAUGUGGUAUGCUGCAGGUGCCAUGGCCCCCCAGCCCAUGAAUAUUUUGUGAAGAAACACUGUUUAUGAUGACACAAAUUAAAAUAAAUACAGUGUUUAGCCCCUCUACACAAUUAUAUUUGGCUAUUUGCCCCCUCAGUAAUAUCUCGCUAGCUCCUCCGCCACUUGCGUCAACUGCAUGGAGCUGCACCGACCUGGGUGAUGGAGCUGCGGACGAUGUCGGCGAGGUGAGUAGGGGAACAACCUGUUUGUUAGUACUACGUAGCCUGGAGUGUAGGUAAGCACGUGGUGACGUGGACCAGUUACGACCAAGACGGCUGCUAACAAGUUUGAGACGGCUCAGCCAGGCACGGGAAAGAGAACUGAGCCGUGCGGAACCAGGUGUUCCGCUCGAUCGGGCCGGCUGCCAUCGCAAUUAAUGGAGUCACCUGCACCCCACAUUUAUGUAGAAAUACAGCCAAUAUACCCUGCAGUCGGGUGGCACAAAUCCCCAUGAGAUCGGACGAUGAUGAGUGCGGGAGCAGCUGAGGCUGAGCUCAGAAACCAAUUUUCGUAAUCAUCUGCCCGUAAUCAUCUGCACACUCUCAACCAACCUGAGAACAGCAUACAGAAUGAUGAUGUAUGUGGCGUCAUGGCAGCCGCACAUCGGAUAUAGGACGGGGUCAGGCAGCGCUAUUUUUUUCUAUUUACUCCCUUUACCGAACAGUACUCUCGGUAAACUACCUUGGCACGUAGCUACACCACCAUUUGCGUCGUCCCGUCUGAUCGCUUUUUUUUGCCGAGUGACCGUAUUUGAAACUCGGUAAAGACUUUGUCGAGUGUUCGACAAAUGGAUCUCGACAAAUUUCUGUUUGCUGAAAAGGGGUAUGCCGAGUGUCCUUUGCCGAGUGUUUUUGGCACCCACACUCUCAGGUUUUAUGGUUUCUACCUUAGGUUGCUUAUUUUGCAUUCUAUGAAGAACAAAUGUGGUAUAGUAUGAGAGCAUGAAAAGAGCAAAACAAAGUAAUGCGCAAACAAUAGCCCGCCCCCCUUCCCAGACACACACAAACACCCUGCUGCCAACAACUCCUUUUCCGUACCGAGCACAAUAAUUAUUGGAUUGAUGUAGCGAUUUUUUGCAACCACUCAAAGGACAUAAAAACAAGGAAAAAACUGGAAACAUAUUUAAAAUUAACUAGCUAGUGGUGUCCGUGAAGUUCAAGAAAAAGCUAGAUUUUUUCUCGACAACAAGUUAAUGUGCAAAGAAUUAAUAAAUGUAUUUGCAAAAAAAGAAAGCAAAUAGAAUUAACGAUUAAACCAGUUUAGGUUUUCACUGCAGACAAUGGUAGUAGUCGGAACCAGAUACAAACCAAUAAAAAACAGGAUCUCAAAUCUCCAACCAUUAAAGAGUUGUAUGUUAGUCCUAUCUUCUGUUCAACCCAAAUUUUACAAUAACACUAUUAUACUUAAAUCUUUAUUAUUGCAAUACAUAAAUAAGUAAUUAAUGCACCAGCUUGCGGUUGUAACCAGGCAAGAUGAACCUAUGAACUCGCAAGCAUGCCAAUCAGAUCGACAUCCACACAACACCGGUAUGAACAUUGUCUAGAUAAAACUUUAUUUGUAUUUUAUUCCAUAAUUUAAACUAGUUUGUGCGGGUCACACAUGACAUUGUGUGACACUUUAUUUGUCACCGCUACAUCGACAUAUCCAUCGACUAAGCAACGACAAUCCAACUAUAUAUUACUAGAGAUAUUUUCUUAUCAGUAGGCACCAACUCGGGUGCCAACGCCGAAUGGCACAAUAGUGGUGGUGCCGUACACCGGCACGUUGACACUGCACAUCGUUGGCAGGGUACGAAGUGCAAUGGAAGUCAUCACCUCAAGUUGAGCUAUUUGGUGUGGCUGCAACAAGGUACCCUGGGGUACCUGUUGUUGUUGAGGCCAUUGACCCAGUUGUUGUUGUUGAGGUUGUUGGAAAGAACACUGUCCGAGCUGCUUCUGUUGUUGUUGGGGUUGGGAGACACCUUGGACCGACUGUUGGGGUUGUUGCUGCUGAGGUUGGUUCAAACCCUGACCAUGUUGUUGUUCUUGUAGGACGAUCGAGUAGAUGAUGGCACGGAUUGCAUCGUAGCGUGAUUGUUCGGGGAUUUGCGGCAGCUGCCGGCAACAUUGUUGCUGCAUCACAUGGCAACUACUCUGCCACAACAUUUGCGACCUAGCAAGACUUUGUGGCAUUGCCACAGGGCUGCAUUGCUGCUGGAGGAAUACCUUGCAUGGGUUUAGCUGCUGCAAGAUAGAUGGCUGAACAGAUGGUAUUUGUUGUUGCGGUAGAACUGGUUGUUGGUGUUGUGAAAAUGGUGGUUGUUGCAGUAGAAUUGGUUGUUGUUGUUGCUGCGAAAAUGGUGGUUGUUGCUGCUGCUGAGAAAAUGGUGGUUGUUGCUGCGAAAAUGGUGGUUGUUGCGGUAAAAGUGGUUGUUGUUGCUGCGGAAAUUGUUGUUGUUGCUGCGAAAAUGGUGGUUGUUGCGGUAGAAUGGGUUGUUGUUGCUGCGAAAAUGGUGGUUGUUGUUGUGAAAAUGGUGGUUGUUGUUGCUGCGAUAAUGGUGGUUGUUGUUGCUGUGAACAUGGUGGCUGUUGUGGAAAUGGUUGUGGUUGUUGUUGGAUGGGUUGUUGUUGUUGGUACCAUAAUAUUUGUUGUAGUGGUAAUGGUUGUUGUUGCAAUGGUUUCUCCAAGCUAGGGAUGUGGCUAGUCUCCAUUUGUGCAAUGGCACUUGUCGCCGCAACGGCGAGGAGGGCAAAGAUGAGGAAGGUCUUCAUGGUGGAUUGGUGUUAAAUAGUGUUGCUUGGUUUUGAUGCUUGUGCUUGUGAUGAUCAUUAUACUUCAUGCCUAUUUAUAGUAGCCCGUGCACCAUCUCUUUCCUUCUUUGCAUCAGCUUUAAUAAUUGUGUUUGGAUGUUUCUGAAAUGGAUUUUUGGUACAUUAUGGUAGGUUGCACUAGCUAUAAGCGUACUUUUGGAUUGAUCAUCAAAGUUGCUUUUUGGUUGUGCAUAUGAUUAUACACAAAGUACAUGAUGUUUGAAGUAGAUGACUUGCCUUAUUCACUUUACAUGUCACGCAUUUAUCAGGAUAGUAUCACUUCUACACCCGAUUUGGGAAAAAGUACAUAAUCUUUGCUAUAGAUAACUUGCCUUAUUCGCUUUACAUGUCAUGCACUUAUCAGGAUAUUAUCACUUUUACACCCGAUUUUGGAACCUUGUAUAGGGUGUCAGCCUUAAACAAGAAAAGGAAAAACUUGUGUAGGACUAAGUUGCAAUCAUGUGUGGGUUGUUAGGAUAUGCUCCAUUAUUAAAGCCUUACAUGUGGAGGGUUCUUCUAGACUCGAUUGUUUUUUAUAGAACUAACUAUGUAUUGUCCUUUAAGAUGAUAAGAUAAACUGACACCUAUAGAGCAUGACAUGACUCAUCGAAUUCCCUUUACAUGUAAAGGAUUGUAAUUGCUUACAAGUCACUAACAUAUAUCCGGUCCUAACUCUAGACACAUCAUCAUUAGUUUGAUCUUUGUGUUAAGGAUUUUUAUUUGAUCAGAUCAUUCUUUUGGCGGACUAAGUUUGCAAUAUUGUGUAAAUAUUUCACGGGGUGCACCUGGUCUCUUUUACUAAAUCUUUGGGGCAGGAGGUUGAUAUUUAUUUGAAUUGUGUAGAACAUUUACAUAGGUAACCUACUAGAAUUAUUAUAUGUUCAUUAUACUAUGACGACAAACAUAUAUAGUUUGGUUUACUGUGGUUCAUGUUUAGGUGUAUAAGAAUGAAUUUAUGUAUAUCGAGGUACUUUAUCAACCCAAAAUGAAAAAUGCCAAACAUUUUAACAUUUUUCAUCAACAAACCUUUAGAACCCCUAUUCGCGGCUAUCCUCCUAGAUCAUGGACAACCAGCAUAUUUCAUUUGUAGGAUUUUGACAAGGUCUUGAUUCUCUCCCACAUAAAAUGUUCUAGAUUGUUUCAUGGCAACUUGUUUGUGCCCGGAUAUUUUCAAUCUUCUUAUCUAGGCCAUACAUAUGUUUUUCUGUCAUUAAUCUAUUAACUGCUGAAUGAAGAGGUCCCAAAUGAUAAAGAAAAACUAUGUUAGGAGUAUGGGCAUCUCCACCACUUGUUUCAAUAAAACCAGAGGAUUUUAUGAUUAUGAAUUUGGUUCGAAAUAUGUUAAUGAUAUGUGCACUCGAUCUGAGCCAAUAUCCGAUGAAUUGAAAAGUGUUAAAUGGCCCAUGGAUAAAUUUAUAUUUGUUCACAAGUAUCAGAAAUCUGGAAUGGUGACACUACAUAUUCAAUUCAAAUUUGAAAAUACAUCUGAUCCCAGCUACGGAGGUCGCCAUGUGCCUCAAAGGAGUCUCCAUCGCAACUCUGGUCGUCUGCAAUUACACUAGAUGGCAGGCUAGUCUGUCAUCCAUCGUGGGAAUCCGCCGACAGGGCAGGUCAGAGGUCCUGUGGUUGCAACUAGCAGGUUAUUCAUCCAAUCUAUGUCCGUCAGUUAGUGCUCGAUCCUGCAGUAAAUGGUACUUGUAUGGAUAUAUAGUUGCAGAGAGGAAUUUCUUUGACUAGUGUUCGAUCUGAUUGCUAGCUGGAUUGGUGGAGAAAUUGCUACUUCCUCGUGCUAGGGCAGCAGUGGACAAUUAGUACAGACAGACCUGGCAAAAAAAUCCAAUGCGUAUAUUAAGUGGAGAUAGUACUAGAUCUGAUGUCUGCAGGAGAUACUAGUAGAUGUUAUACUGCACACUGGCACAGUAUGAGGUCAUUAUGUUGUUCUGUACAAAGUCUGUCACUUAGAUGUACAUAUAUGAGUGACAACCGCAUAUAUAUUUCUUGCAAAAUCCAUGCUUCCUUGCAGGUGGAAGGCCCUCAUGGUGCCCCCGAGACAGAGCCUGUUCCCUAUUUGGUACGGUGAGUAUUGAAUCGAAACGCAAAAUAUGCACUUAUUGAUUUGUCGAUCUCACAUUAUAUGCAUCUGAUAGGAGAGGUUAUCGUCAGAGGUUGUGGAACAAUCUGAAGGACACUUGUGGUUAAGCAGCAGCAUCAGGUGAGGUGUUCAUGUCAGUCAGUUGGUGGUCAGACUGGCACUUGUUUAAUUUGGAUGGUACAAUUUUCUAUUCACAUUGGUAAAUGCCAAUGGACAAUGACCAGCUUGGAUUCGCAUGUUGAAUUUGGAUGAUACAGGUGAGGAAGAAACUAAAAAAACACUAGUUAUGUGGUCACCUGGAACUCCAGAGUGUUUCUUGGUGCCAUAUAGUCUUGCUUUGCUGCAGUUAUAGACUUUAUAAAUGCCCUGAGCUAUUUUGGCAGCAUCGGUGUCGUUUCAUUGUUGUUUUAGCAGGGGCUUUUGAUAAAAAGAGAAGUGAAAAGAAAAAUAUUACGCACGCCUAGGUUAUGUCAUGAUUGUUAUCGGCUUUGUCGAACUUUGACCUCUGUCUUCUUCAGAUAACUGUAAUGUGAAUUAAUAAUCUCCUUCCACAUUUCCUAGGAUUAUAGAAGUUGGUAUGUUGUCGCAGCUGUGAAGUACUUAUCUUACCAAUUAUAGUGUCGUUACUUAGUUGAGGUGACAAUGUUGGAAUUAUGUGUCCUGCAACUAUAUUCAAAUUACUUGGAAUUGUUAAUAUUCGAAUUGCCUCAUUAUGAAAUUAUACAUGUAUUUAUACAUGGAAUUGCUUUACAUGUUUAGCAUGGAAUUGUUACUUGCUGGAAUGUACUUAAGUAAUAUAUGCUUAAGGAAGCUGGUCAAUUCUCAGUAGAAUAUAAUAUUACUAUUUAUAUUGAAAAUACUACCCGGGAACGCUGAUGAUUUGAAGGAGCUAGAUAGUGUAGUUAGAUUAUAGUCCUAAUGUUGAUCUACAUAAUUAGAGGAAUUUACAUUCUAUUAUGAUGUGUUGCUCACAAGCGCGUGCUCCAGGGACAUAACGGAUAGAAUCUGUUAACAAACAAAUACGAUCGUGGUUGGUAAUUUGAUUUAGACUCUAUCCAGGAAACUAGUUGUAACGACUAGGAAUCUUAUAUGUAUAAGAGGUGGACUCUUUGAAAAGACAGUACAAGAAGGUGCCAUCUCUAGUCCAGAUAUGCGAAUUGUGAGCGGCGCCAUGGAUAAAUAGACCACAAACCCUAAAUUUCUAACAGACAAGACGUUGAAAUUUUAUCUUGUGUUCGGAUAGCAUUAUUUGAAACCGUGAGUUGUCUGUUUCUGUACUGAUGGCACCCCAAAAGUGCUGGUUACUGGGGAGGUGUAUGCGGCAUGCCGAAUCAUUCUUCCUCGGGAGGCCCUAAAGCUUCAACUUGUUGAGAAACUGUCUGCACUCUGCAGUUUGGAACCUUACGGAAGGAUGCUGUGAAUUUCAUGGAUAGUGGGCUUCCCUGAUGGCUGCUCUGCUACUGCUAGCUUACGGAAUGGCUUCUACAACUGAACUGUACUGCAGUCGCUCUUGACUGAGAAUUGUUGGGGCCCGCGGUGUAGGGUGACUGCUUGGCGUUGAGUUGAGCUGCAACGCUGAAUCAAACCCUGGACGACACAAACGAUCUGAUCUAGAUUUGGUUUGAUGCUCGUCCUUUGGGUUGGUACCCAUGACAGGCACGGGUCGCCAGCAGUUUACUAUCAUCCAUGGUUCUUUAGCCCUGUGGUGUUCUACUUAUCUGAAAAACUUCUUGUUUUUGAAAUGUCAACUGGGGUAUAUAUAUUUUUCAAAAACAGGAAGUCAUCAGUUUGUGAUCAUACAGCAGAGGUGAAGAGAGGGGCAGAGGGCCAGGCAGUUACACAUAGAUUACAAUAUACAGACAGCAGCCAGGCGGGGUGUCAGCGAGCAGGGUUGCUAGAAUGAGCUGAAUUGCCUCUUUUUUCUACCGAACCUGAAGAUUUGUGCCUAACAUUGAAAAGGUUCCAUAUGACGAUGCAAUCCAAAUUGCCUUUUCGAUCGACUACUCUCAUAUGUAGUAGGUUAUACCAAUGACAACAACAGCAGAUUUAUAUCCCACAAAAAACAUGCAGCAGCAGUGCAGCUGAAGCUAAAAUAUAUAUGUUGGUUACUGAAGCUAAGUCGUAAGCACUUUUCACGGUGAUGAUCCAGGCUUUUCCUUGUUUCCACAUAAUUACCUGAGUUCAAUGAUCUGCAUUUCUCAGGUAUCGCUUGUUUCAUACAUCGAAUGCUAUUUAUCGGCCUAUCCAUGCAAUUUGAAAAUUCACUGCUGAAUGUCGGUUGUGUUCUGCGAAUAAGUGAAUGGUGGUGGUUAUUUGAAACCUAUGCCCAAUUGUGGUGGUUACUUGCAAUAUACUCCUAGAGCUUAAAGCACACGUUUUGGGCAGUAAGUCAGAUAUAUGCAUUAUAGUUUCUUUCUUGAAAGCUAUGUGUUAUGUGACACUGAUCAGACUACUAGUUCUGGAAACAAAUACAUGUGCAGAUGCCAUGCCAGCUUAUGCAAGUUGGUUAACAUUUUUGAAAAAUGAGUGGCUGUGUGCAUCACACAUAGGCCUGGAUUUAACCUCCUUUCCCGGGGGAAAAGGCAAGUUACUUAAUAGUUACAAUCAGGUUAAGUAACUGAAGAAAUUAAGCAGUUGACCCAAAUGCAGCUUUCAGGCUGCCCCAAGCAACAUUAAACUGGGCUUGUGUAAAAUAUUAGUGCAGUUUAUGGUCAGAUGGCCUUGUCGAGAUCGAUGAUGGAUAUUUUAUUUUGGUUGUAUGUUUCGAUCUAAUCCAUAACUGAUGAUACUACAUGCAACUAGGACACGAGUGAAUAAUCUACUUAAGAGCUGCAUCAUGAAGGGAAAACAAGUAAGCUAAGUACAUGGAUUAGAGCAUCUGCACACAUCUCAAGUGGUUGACUUAAGACUGAUUAACAAGCUUAUGUUGUUUCUUACUGAAGCUAGAGCAGACUUGUAUUUCAAGGAAGCGAGAAUGUAUAUAAGUCUUGCUCACGUCUCCUUCCCCUCUCUUGUACCUAUAACUAUCUAUCUCUCCAUUACCAGAUCAUCAGUAUUUACUUGUAUGACGGCAAAAAAUAAUAACAAGAAAAAUUUCACUGCAGAACCUCCUUCAGGCACAAAAUAAUGACCCGAGGAAUAACAAAGUUGGUUUCAAUGAAAGUAAUUAUCGAAGGAGGUUUCAAUACCCAAUGAAUUUAUGUAUGAUUGACUAAUGGUCCUACCUUUUCCAUAAUAUGUUGCUGGUUUUCCUUGAUAAUUGUUUGGAAAGCGUUGAAUUUAGCAUGUUUUAAUCACAAGUGGCCUUCUGAUCCGUCUGUUAUCAUGUUUAGGGUAGCUUACUGGAAUAAUGAUUGGAGUUCCCUGUAGGUGAUGGAGGACGCAAAACGAGCGCUACGACGGGACGCAGGACUUCUGGAAUGAGUCACAACUAAAGUUUUUCAAGCCAGAAAAAGCUUGGUGCCAUGGAUUCCCCGGCUGGAAGAUGGGACUUGAAUUUGGGAUUGUGUCUAUUCCAUUAGUGGUGUUGUCCUGGUUAAUAGCUGGGUGUUGGCAUCGGCAUGUUCAUUGUAAAACACUGUGUAUUUUCGUGUCUUCGUUGUGUUGGUUGUUCCCCUACUCUGUUGCUCAGCUAGGGUUGCAAGGAGGGAUGCCUUAAAAACUUAAUUCCGUGUCCGUGUUGUGUUGGUGGUGGUUGCGUUUUGGUUGUAAAAACCACUUGGUUUCAUUAAUGAAACUGAUAAAAAAAAGUAAGCAUAAACCUUUCAGUGGAAUAUCCAAAAAAGUCCAGGCCAACUGUUUUGAGAGAACAUUUUGCAAUAAGAAAAUUUAGUAGCUACAAUCAGAAUAGAAAUGUUCUUAUCUGAUUCACAUGUUAUCCAUUUGUUCUCUUGUGUUUAAGUGAGUAAUUGCACCAAUUUCGAACAUACAAUAGGUCGUCAAUGUAGCUCAUAUGAAGUGUGCAAUAAGUAAUGAUCCGUGGUAUGGGAGUAUACUCUUCAUAUUCACAUUGACUACACAAACCAAACUUUAUUAUCAGAUCCACACUGACAAGAUAUGAUCCCAAACACACAACCAAACAUAUAUCAUAACUAUAACAAACAAAUGGACAUGGAUUUUUGAAUUAAUAGAAUAUCCCAGGCUAAAAAUCCACAGAUUACUUGAAAAGGAAAAAAUUGACAAAGCUUGUACAGUUCCUUUCAUAGCUACCCGUAUAUGGGUAGCUACAGCCCACCUAGUUUUUGAACAUAUUAUUGGAUGGUGGCGCCAGAUGUAGUGUCCUGCAAAAAAAAGGUAUAAUCAACAUGGCUACAUACCAAGAAACCAAUCAUUAAGGUACUGAUGGAAAUUUGUCAGGAAAAUGUAACAAUCAUAAUGCCAGAUGACUAAAACUAGCUUUGAAAUUUAUAGGCUUAUUUGUUACAUAACCUUAACUACGUCCAAUUGUCAAUACCAUGACGUUUAAAUUUCUUUCAGCUGGACAAGAUAUACAUGCUAGAAACACGAAGAAAAAUAUAUACAGAUUAAGUAGUUGAAUGUAUGUACUUACAGAAGCUUUGACGUAGAAUGCAUGGAUAUUGAGUUCUUUAAUAGUUUGGAACGUAGGGGGGUUGGUGAGUGCGUAAUACUUGAUGAUCCCACGUGCCAUAGCAAACUCUCCAGUCCCACCCAUAAUGGCCAUCUGGCCUUGGCCUGUUUGAAAAUUGAUCCCCAUCGCUUCGAAUGAUGAUCCAUUGUACCUGAUAUAGUUUUAUAGGGCAAUAUCACAUAUCAUAUGAAACUGGAAAAUCUUUAGUAUUUGAGAUCUUUGUAACAAACCAUAUAUGCUAUAUAACCGGGAAAACUAAAACUUGUACUAGUCCAAAAGUAUAUAAAAAUGACCUAGAGUUCUUCUCGAACACCAUGCUGAAGUAGUUGAACCAGCCUGGACCGGCUACAUCAGCCUGCACUUGCAUGCCUUUGGUACGGGCAACAAUGGUGGCAGUAGCGGGGUUUGGUCCAUCAAUCACAGUCCAGUCGGUAACUGCAGUUAGACCAAACUCUGAUGGUUUGCUGGAGGUAACAAUUGCUACCUGGUUGAUGCCUGGUCCGGCGGCGAUUUGGUGCAAGUACAAGCGCAUGUUAACCUCGGACUCACACUGAAGAACACAGGAUAGGGAUGCAGAUGCCAUGGAUAGAAUGGAAUGCAGGAUUAGGAUCAUGGACAGGACUAAAAGGCUAGGGCUAGCCAUUUCUAGCUAGGAUUUUGGCUGGCUGAAGAAGAUGGUAGCUAGGAGGUGUGUCCGUAAACUGACUCUUUCCUUUGUCGAGUGUGUUAGCUGUGUGAGAGACACUUGAGUCUAGGGUACUAUUUGUAGUGCUCCAGAACUAGCUAGCAUAUUCGUUCCAUAUCCUCUUUUUUCAUUUCUCUUUGGGAUGAUCCAUUUCAUAUCCUUUUUAGUUUCUUUUUUUUUCAACUGUCAUUUCAGUUAGGAUAGACAACUACACAUGUGUGACUGAUUCCUUGUACAUCUAUCAACCCUCGGAGAUCACAAAGGUCAAGUGCCUUUUGAGGAACUACCCUUUUUUCCUUGAAAUACAAUGUGUACAUGGUAAUGCAGCAUUGACAAAGACUAAAAUGAAUUAGACGCCCAUUCUUAUCUUUACAUCUAAUUGUAUCUCCGGAUGAGCAGCAGCCUAGAUUUUCCACCUGGACAACGAGCACACUGUCACUACUCCUACAAUACAAAGUUCAAAUACAAGGAUUCAUCGCCGUUGAAUCUGUGAAUCGAUGCGCCGCUCCCCCGCUCCCCCGCUGGGGAAUCGGGUAAAAGGCCGCUCCCCCGCUCCCUAGGGUUUCCCCGCCGCCGCCGGCGGCUCCCCCGCGCGGAGCCGCCGCCGCGGCGGCCGGAGACCGCCGGAGCCGCCAGCCCCCUCCUCUCCCCGUUCCCCUUCUCCUCCCCCCACCCCUCCUCCGCGCCCCCGUACCCCCGCGCCGCCUCCCCGAGCGAGGCGGCCGGGGGCCCUUCCUCCGUGCGCCUCCAGCCCCUCCCCACGCCCAUCCCUCCUCCCGCCGCCGUCAGCCUACGCCGCCGGUCCUCAGCCGCGUGAUGCUGGCGGCGGUGGGCUUGCCCUUCCCCGCUCGCGGUCCUCCCCUGCUCGGGCGAUGAUGGCCGGAGGCGGUGCGCCUUGGCCGGUGGUGGUCCGGCGUCCUUGUUGGAGGCCGGCGGUGCUCGCCGUGGUGGUGCCGCCUCUUGGCGGCGGGGUGGUCCGGUGGUGCUGGCCGGCUGGGGGCGUGUCCCCGGCCCAGAUCUGGGCCCGUAGGGUCCCUUCCGGGUCCUUGCGGGUUGGCUCCGGCGCGACCGUGACGCUCUCUGUAUGGGGAGGCAGGGGAGCGGCUUGGAUUGGGACAGCGACACAGAUGGUGUUCCAGCUGCUGCGCGGAGGCGGGAGCUGUCCGGGCCUUUGACGGCCCGGCCGGGCCUAUGGGGCCACGGGCCCGGUAGGCUCCUGCCAUGGCGUCCGGUCGGCUACCGUCGUGGACGGUGGAGGUGGGGCCCUCCCGUAUGCCAACGGUGUUGUUGCCCUAGUCCCGGCUCCUCUUCUCCGUUGUGCAGACCAUCUUCGUGGUGCCGUGGUGAGACAGCGUGGGAAGCUUCAUGUCCGUGUUGGCGCAGGGUGGUGGCCGGUCUGGUGGCGAGCUCCGGAGUGCCUGAGGUAGAGGCUGGGAUCGGGAGAAAUCUCUGUUGGCUUGGUCAACACCGACGUGGUGGCGUCUGAGGGUGCCGCCGGACCUUCCUUGAGGGCGUCGGGGCUACCCUUCCUCUCUCCUCGUCGUGUACCGGGGGAAACCCUUGGCAGCAGCGUCGUCAUCGUCGCGUCCCUUCUUGGAGGUGUUGUUGGGUACCGGCACUUCGGAGUCUCGGAGCUUGGUGGGCGAUCUCCGGUGGGCGCAGCGGUCACGAGGCUUCGUCGUUUUUGUCGAUCCACCAUUAUCGGCAUUUGUUUCUUUUCUUUUUUCUCUUUCCAUUCUUUUGGGCAUGUUUGUGCUGCUUCCGCCCCAGCCCCUAUCGUCGGUUGUAUUGGUUGAUUGCUUUGUAAUACAAAGCGGGGGGAAACCCCUUUUCUCAAAUCCAAGGAUUCGUGCUGCUUGUAAGUUAGAUACAUAGUUCAUCAAAUGACAUUUAAUUAUCUGGCUCAGUUUAUAGCUGCGAUUGGAGAUGCAACCCCCCACCCAUGGAACCCAGGUCAAAAGCUUUCCUUUCACCUCUUCUUUCCGCCGCCACCGACGUCGCUGCUCUUGUUGGGGCAGACUUGAUGCCAAAGACAGGAGGAAGCGGCCUUGGCAACAUCGCUGGUCUUGUUGAGGCAGCCUUGAUGCCAAAGACAGGAGGAAGCCGCCACACAACACUUCAGUUUGGUGGUGCUCUUCAAAUACCGGAUCUCGAUUUCCAGAGGGGAAACUCUAGCUCAGGCCUUCAUUCACUGUACGUUGGAAUGGCGAUGUUUCGACAUUGUUCCCUUGUUGAAGACAUUGUCUUGAGAUUGCUCGGAAGUCCUAUUCAGGGUGAAAACUCAUGAUCUAGCCUCUAUUAGAUUGGUGACAACAGUGAUCAUCCCUUUCCUAGAGGUGUCGUUGUUGGAGAUCCUUUCUCAUAGUUCGGGUAGUUCCAUUAGCGCAGGUUGGUGUUGGCCACUGAUGCAUGCCAUUGAUUGCUUCAACAUGAAUUUUGUAUGUCCUGUCUUUUUUUAAUAAUUUGGAUGUGUGCAACCCUGAUGGCUGGAUUAGCACAUUGCUUCUUGUAGAGGCUGCAGGGUGGAUGGGAGUGGGGCCGGGGGCAGUGGUGCCGACCGAAAACUAGCAAAUUUACUAUCAUCUUGAUUAACAUAUUUUUAGCGGUUUGUUCCUUGCAAAAAAAGACUAUCAAUGUAUCAAUUAUGCAAGCUAGUUUAAGACCAUUCACAAAUUAUUAUCAAAUGGUUCUAUUAAUGUCAACUGCAUUCAGGAGUCAUGCAUGACGUCAACCAUGUCAAAUUAUUGAAGGUUUAACCUCUGGCUUAGAAACAAAACUUAUGCGUACCAUAGGCCUGCAAAAAUUAAACCACUGUACAUGACAACCACACAAAUAUAAUACCUAGUGGGCAACCUCCGUACGACAACCACAGAAAUAUAAUACUUUUGACAAGUUUAUCAAUGCUACUUGCGUGUUGUCUAAUAAGUAGUGACCUUCAUAAGGAAUUGCGUCGAUCCAAGGAUAACAUCUUAAUUAGCAUACUACUAAGAUUCGAAGACAUAUACUCUUGAAAGUCAGUUGUGCCAUUAGUCAGAUGUGUAUACAGUAUACAAUCCAAUUGUAUGUAUAUGUAUGUCAGUAUGUGUGCUCAUCAACGGUUCACCAUGUUUUGAAGCAACCCAGUCAUCAGUAUGACCGAGUGUUCAGAUAUAUCCAGUAUACAUGCAUUCACGAGUGCUCUUAUUGCUUGUGUGUAACCCAUGUGGUGUGUUUGUUGAUGUAACUUCAUCAAAUAUGCAUCUAUAAUUGAAGGGAGAACCUAUCCUUCAAUUAUGGAUUAGUCGAUUUUCCUAGCCUACUGUUUAUCUUUUUCGCCCACCCUUCUCCACUUCUUUGACCCGUUCCCAACCGUCUGCCAAGCCGUCUGCUAUCUGUGGUGCCGCCAGCCACGCCGUCCGCCGUCGGUGGUGCUUCCGCGUGUGCCCCGGAGCCCUGCCCUGCUCAGUUUGAGCCGCCAUCUCUGCCAUCCCUCUGCACCCUGGCCAUCCCUACAAACCUCCCCACAGUCCCUGGNNNNNNNNNNNNNNNNNNNNNNNNNNNNNNNNNNNNNNNNNNNNNNNNNNNNNNNNNNNNNNNNNNNNNNNNNNNNNNNNNNNNNNNNNNNNNNNNNNNNNNNNNNNNNNNNNNNNNNNNNNNNNNNNNNNNNNNNNNNNNNNNNNNNNNNNNNNNNNNNNNNNNNNNNNNNNNNNNNNNNNNNNNNNNNNNNNNNNNNNNNNNNNNNNNNNNNNNNNNNNNNNNNNNNNNNNNNNNNNNNNNNNNNNNNNNNNNNNNNNNNNNNNNNNNNNNNNNNNNNNNNNNNNNNNNNNNNNNNNNNNNNNNNNNNNNNNNNNNNNNNNNNNNNNNNNNNNNNNNNNNNNNNNNNNNNNNNNNNNNNNNNNNAACCUGUCAAGCCAUUUUCCUCUCCUCCGUCUGCGACCGUGCGGCUAGUCACGACAUCCCGUCUCGUGCUCGAUGUUGCGGUGUGUUGCUCUCUGCAAACCGAGUUGGAUGACGCGAGGAAAAGAAUCAAGACUGAGUAAUAGAAAUUUCCAUGAUUGAAUAUUUCAGUUUGGCAAAACUUUUCAUACAUUUCUAUGGAUUUUCACUGUCAUAGAAACAAAAAAACGUAACAAGGAAAGAAGACGAUGUCCCUUCAUAGGAUUGCAUGGAGGUAACAGAGAUCCAUGUCUUGAAAACGUGGGAAAGAAAGGAGCACGCAAUUGAAAACAAACACCUCAUAAAACUUACACUAGUGCAUACUACGUCGUAAGAACAUCUACAACCGAACCCAAAUGUGACCCCUACACGUCCGUGGAUGCGUCCACAGACAGCGACCGGUCACCCCUUAUAUCUCCGCGUCCUCUUCCGUCCCCCUCAAAUCCAUGCUAACAACAAAACGUCAUCAACAUUUUAUGUAGAAACAAUUUGAACAUAGCAGUAUAAAAACAUAUAUAUUGGGAAUGGCAAGUUUCAUACAAUCGGACACAAAAUGUCCAUCAUCACCUAGAUAUGAUAAGCCUAAACAAUAGAUAAACUCCUACAUGUAGGCGUUGGCUGUCGGAGGGGAUUUGUCGUUGUCCUCGCUCAUCAUGCCGCUGACAUAGGACAGCAUCGAGGAGAUGAUCCCGACCAGACGCCGGACGGCGCAGGCCUGCUCCUUGGUGAGUCGGGCGGCUCUCGUGAGGUUCCUGAAAUCGUCGAUGUCGAGCCAGAGAGCCUUUGCAGUUUUCCUACGUCGGGCAUCCAUCUCUGCUGAUGUCAAUUUUCAGAGGCUGACAUCACGGAGGAGCUCCUCCUCCAGGUCAACCAGCGUGGACCUACAGAAUUCGCAGACACUGCAGGAGGAACCAGCAUUCUCACAGACCUACUGCCUAGCACGGCCGGCUCGCGCCUCUCAUUUGUACGUCCUCCUUGAAAGCUCGUGGUGCGGGAACAAGCAUCCUGCUCCAACCGGGAGGAGCGGAGCCCAAAGUGGUAGAGUAGGGUCACAAAGGGCGAUGGAUCUGGACCGGUGCAAACCGCGACGGGCUGCAUUGCCUCGUCGGCCAACGGGAUAGAAGGCAGAGCUCAAAUUCCUACCCCUGUCCAUCCAUGACCGGCGGAGCGAGGCGCAUGCAAAGGGCGAGUUCUCCUCAUCAUCCAGAUCCGAUUGCGGCAAGGCAUCCCAGUCGAUGGGCUUCGCCUCGUUGCUGGAUCCGCCACUGAAAUCGCUGCCAGAAUCAACCCAUAUGGUAGCCUGAGAAGAGGAAGCAAUGGAGAUGGGAGCGAACAUGACUGGAGUGGAAGGGGAGAGAAGAAGCCAGCACUGAGCUAUGUUUGCACCCUAGUGGAGAUGGGUCGGGCGAGCACGAACGGGUCCAAUAUGACGGCCGCGUCAGGGAGUGUCGAUCUACCCCAGACGAUAGGGCUAACUAUGUGGGGUCCGGUUGGGUGGCAAUUAUGGGCUGAGUAGUGACCGGGCUGUCCGCCCAUACGUUUGGGAGGAUAUGAGUGCUCCUUUGUACAUGCUUUAAAUCUGGGCAUGAGAAGCCGCACCUGCCGGUGCCUAUGCUGGGCUUGUCCCUCUUAGCUGGAAAGCCCCAAAAAGUCAAGGACCUUAUUUUUGGGAUUUUAUAUGAGAAAUAGGUAUGGUAUUGUAUCAAUUUGUCCUAAAAUAAUUCUUUUAUUAUAUUUAAAUAAAAAUAUAGCCAUUUUCGUGGCCAAGCGAGGUGGGAUAAGACCCGGGCUCGGAAUUUUCAGGCCGGGAUCUAGCAGGUCCGUCAGUUUUAAUCAAUUUAUUUCUUUUUCAGUUCUAAGCUGUUUUAAGUACCUGGUCAGCAAUCUCUAACCAAUGAUAAGAUAACAAGACUAGGCCUACUAUCAAUUUUCAUAGUCAAUUGUGUCCCUGGUCACAUUACUCCAAUCCAUCUAUAUUUAUGCGUGCUCAUAACCAGUUCACCUUGUUUGAAAUAAGCCCAGUUAUGUUUCCUUUUUGCAAGAAAGUACCGCAUUUAUAUUAAAUGACUUCCAACAUCCCGGAAAACAGAUCGUCGACGUGGUCCAGUGCAUCACAGGUGGCAACAAUGAACUGAAAGAAAUUGCGAAAUUUAAGGUAGUUGUUAGUGGCAGGAUCUAGUUUGAAGGUGAUCUAGGAAUGGAUGUUGGUUUUAUGGACGGUAUGGGGGCCUAGAGUUAGGAAAAAGGAUUGAGAGGGUAAUAGAGAGAGCACCAGCUACAGUAUUGAGGGCACCAUGGAGCUGAGAAACUGGGAGAGGUUUAACACCCUCUGGUUCUGAAGAAGAAGAAAAAUAAUACCACAAGCCUGCAAAGUAAACCAACAUAUAGAAUUAAGAAGCAAUUUAACAAUACUUAGUGGGCAAUCUCCGUGACAACCAUCAAAAUAUUGCUAUGCUGUUAAGGAAUUAUUUCUUUGAAUAAGCUUGGUACUAGUUGUAAUAGUUGCAUGUUGUCUAAUAUGUGACGUUAGUAAGGAAUUGCGUCAAGCAAAUUAUAGCAUCUUAAUUAUCAUAUUACCAAGACCUGAAGAUAUAUACAACCUUGAAGCCUUAAGAGCUAGAGCCAUUGCCUAUUUUUUCUUAGAAAUUGGGCCAACCCUGUCGCGUACGGAUUUAUUUAGUAGUAAUUAUUCUGUAUAUUUUCAUGGAUAUAUAGGAAUAGGCAGUGUAUAUGUGGAGUGCACACAAUCUUGUUCAACUUUUCUUUGCUGGAAGUAAGCUGUUUUAAGUACUUGGUCAGUAAUCACAAAUCAAUGAUAAGAUCGUAAGACUGGGCCUACUAAUAUAAUCCCUCCGUCCCAAAAUUCUUGUCUUAUAUUUGUCUAGAUACGGAUGUAUCUAAUACUAAAAUGUGACUUGAUACAACCGUAUUUAGACAAAUCUAAGACAAGAAUUUUGGGACAGGGGAGUACUUUCAAAGUCAACUGCGGCCGCUAGUCAGAUGUGUACCACAAGACAGUUACAUAUAUCAUGCUCAGCACGAGUUCACAUUGUUUUAAAAGCAACCCAGACAUAAGUAUGAGUGUUAGUUCAAACAUAUUUGUAAAAGAACACUCGUUUAUACACUUUAGGAGUUAAUACAUUCAUGAGUGGUUUUUUCAUCAUGUAACUGGCACGGAGUGUUACUGAAUAUAACUUUAUUAUUUAUUACAUUUCUUAGGAUUCUUCCUAUCAUGAAACUAGCGGUACUGCCUGCUCAGUUGCGCGGCAAGAUUUUGAUUUGUCAUUUUAAAUUUGGAAACUAUAUUUUGGCAUUUUAAAUAUUUCUUAACACUUUGUAAAUAUGCAUUCUUGUAAUUACCUAAUUGCGAAUGAGGAAUUCAUCAGCAAAGGAAUGCCAAGAAAUAGUCGGUCCCACAAAAAAGGCUGAAAUUAAGUGUUUUUACUAAAAGACAUUCAAUUAGAACAUAUCAUGUAAGAAGGCCUAAAUUCAUCCAUACAUACGCAUUAAGUAUACUUGUGGGGUUAACAAUUUUAAGCAUGUAUACAUGUACAUCUAUUAUCUAUUAUAUAAUUAAGACAAGAGGCAAACAAGCCAUCACGUUCGUCCACAUAUGAUAAUAUUUUGUACACCGUUUCAUUAGAAUAAUAACGGUUGAGAUUUAAAGAUUCUUACGUAACAUCGUAAAAUAGAUGUGCCAGUACAAUUGAACUGUCAUGUUGUCAUGUUAUAUGCAUGUAUAAGCAUUAGGUAUGUAAAAAGAAGAAAAAAAGAGUAAAAAGACAUAUUGGUUUGUCGCGUUACAUGUACCGUCACGUAAAAGAGAUGGACACAGAAGGGUGCAAAUAACCAUGACGUGCACACAUGUACAUACAUGAAUAAGAGUUCUAGGAAAACUAAAGAUGAAAGUAGGGUCACGUGAGAAUUAGAAAGGGAAACCUAGGGGACGAAACUAGAACGUGAAGGCAGACUUCAACUUGGACACGUACAUGUUCUCAAAAAAAAAAAACUUGGACAUGUGCAUGUAACGGAGAAAAAAGCUUUGCAUGAAGGGUAUUCACUGGAAAAGAAUAUGCAUAUGUAAAUCUACCAACUUACAAGGAAACAUACUAAAAAGUCUAGCGUUCUAACGCAUAGCAUAAAAACCUUAUACUCUAUACUGUUACACAACAAAAAAUCAGCUAUUAGGCUCAAAUUAAAAUUUAACCGGUAGAACUGCACAUGCAAUUCAAACUAAAUAUAUUAUUGGUAAUUAGUCAUUCGCUAAUUUAUGAGAAGACGCUGCAAGACAACAAUAUAUUACCGAUUUUAUAUGAAUAUACACCAAUAGUUUUUUUUAAAAUAUACACCAACAGUUCUUAGCCUUAUAUGGUCAGGCUACAUAAACAAUUAGAGUACGAGGACUUUGUCAAGAACAUUUAGAAGCAUGUGUCGAAAGCCGAUAUCGAUGAUACUGCACUAUCUAUAAAAGGAAUGCACAACAAAUAGAGGUACACAACAUAAAUCUUACAUAUUUAAUUGAUGAUGAAAUGAUUUGGCGUGGUAAGAAUCUAAGAUAGGUGUAAUUGGUCACCUUUCGUCGGGCAUCGGUGGAUGUCGAAAGGAUUUCAACCUAAAAGACACACAUUUCAAGUAUAAUAUUUUUUGUAUUUAAAAAUCACAUAUCAGUGGCAAUGUGGCAUUCGACUUAACAUUUAUGUGUUGGAGGAAAUAGCGACUAACCAAGAGCAGUAGAAAUGUGGAAUUUGAUUAGUGUUAUGGGACAAGCGGCUAGCUUGGUAAGCUACCAACAAAAAAUUGCAAUCAAUGAUUAGUGUUAUGGAAUUAUAUGGCUUAGUAUUGUAAGGUGCUGAUCUCCAUGACAUAGCACACUUGAAAGAAGUAUUGUUAAACUGACGAUUCCAAGGUCUUAUGGCUUUCUCGGAGAUGCACAUUUUGGUCAUACGUUACUAUAUAAUAUAAAAGUUGGUGUUGAAAACAAUACUACAUAACAAUUAGACUCGAAUGAAUGAUAGAGAAUAUUUUACCAAAAGAAGAAAUCAAGCAUUAAUUAAGGAAAAAUCUGUGUCCUGCCUUUUUUUUGUUUUGAAAUCCGGUUAUAUUCAAAUAACUGGGCAGUGGGCACCAUUAGAACUGAACAAGCCCUGGACAGCCCAAGCGAGAAUAUUGUAUCAACUUUAACCAUGAAGUGGCUUUGAUAGUUACCUCACAAUGAGAAGAUGUACAAGCAUAUAAACGUAUAUAUGGAUAUAUGACAUGUAUUUAUAAGAACACAUGUGCAUAAACAGACGGUGUAUUGCUACAAGCCAACAAUUAAUGUUUAGAUUUUAUUGACAAAAAUUCUACAAGAAUAUUUGGUGAAAAGAUAAAUGAAAAUGGAUUUGAGAAGGUGGAAUAGUGAAAGCCACGUAUUAGUACAAAAUCAUAUGGUUUUCCAUGGUGGGACACAUGCCUUGGUUCUGUCUAUCUUUGAUUGCCAUAAUAACCCAGUCUGUACCAACAUCUUUAUACAUAUUACAAAAAUAUACGAUGUGAACUUUGGUGAUGAUUUAUAUAGAUAUAAAAAAAAUGUAAUUGGUUAUAUAAAUAUUUAUAUAAUGACAGAUCAAAUAAAAGAAGAUACAUAGAGAAAUAACAGCACAAAACAUAUAAUAUAAAUAAAGGAAGUCUAGCCGCGCAAACGCGCGGGUCACUAUAUAUAAAAUAGCUGGGCAACUAAGUUUUGGUGAACUUAUUGUGGAAGUACAUGUCGUCCCACGUUAUAUGAAGUGUGUGGUCGUUCUUGUCAUUAAGUAAGGAUACCCAUUCAGAGCAGGAUGCUUUAUGGCUAAGCUCCUAUAUUACUGCCGGCCCAAGUUGAUGACAGAGAAACUCCUGAUCAAACAAGCUGAUAUACGGGAGCACAUCACCUUGUCGAUGCUAUGGAGGAACUUGACGCCGAGACCGCGAUUAGUCAUCGCUUGAUCAAUAUCUGCGAGGAACUUGAGCUGCUACCCAUACUUGGUGACAGACAUGGUGCUCUCCUUGAGCAUGUGGUACUUGACGCUAAGACUGAUGAUGUGUGCGGAGUUAUUGUUGAGGAAGUACUGGUGGAGGCGAUUCCAUGCCGACAAGGCAAUGCCGUCAUUGGACAUCGCAAGUCCAGAAGACCAUCGUCGAUCAUGGUAUAGACCCACAACAUGAUCCUGAUGUCAGCACGCUGCUACUCGGGGUCAUCAAUUUCAAGUUCAGAUGUUGAAUAAUGUGGUUGAGUUCGGAGGCGGGGAGGACGAACCAGAAGAAAUGCACCAUUUAUGGUAGUUGUUGACAACUUGGGUCGAGUUUAAAGGUGAAGUAGGACUGGAUGUUGGUAUUAUGGACGACAAUCGGGCAUGAAGUUUGUAAAAGGGGUUGGGAGGUAAGAAGAGGGAGUAGAAGAAAUAGUGGCGACGGGCGCCAUGGCAUCAACAGAGAAACAUGGAGAGGUCUUGGGGGUUUGCGCCAUAAGUGACGUGGUGCUGGAGUUGGUCUGGCUGUUGUUCACUGGUGUUACCAAGCUGAACUCAGUAAUAUGUAUUGUUUGCCUCAAGGUUUACAAGUGUAAAUGUGCACAAUAUAUAGAGAAAGGUCACAGAGAGAGGCCUAACUAACUUCAACANNNNNNNNNNNNNNNNNNNNNNNNNNNNNNNNNNNNNNNNNNNNNNNNNNNNNNNNNNNNNNNNNNNNNNNNNNNNNNNNNNNNNNNNNNNNNNNNNNNNNNNNNNNNNNNNNNNNNNNNNNNNNNNNNNNNNNNNNNNNNNNNNNNNNNNNNNNNNNNNNNNNNNNNNNNNNNNNNNNNNNNNNNNNNNNNNNNNNNNNNNNNNNNNNNNNNNNNNNNNNNNNNNNNNNNNNNNNNNNNNAUGGGCUCUAGUACAACACGGUUGAGUUACAACAGUACAUACAUAUGGUGCGUAGAUGUUUAAUAAUAUUGAUUUGAAUUCAUGUAUGACGGGGUAACAAAUGGCAAAGAUUAACAAUAACAUUAGACUGCCUGCAAUAGGAAUAUCAUACUAGCUAGUAUCAUGCACGACAACUAAGCAUUUUUUAUGAGGUGAAUAUAAAUGAAGAAAAAAAGAGUCCAGUAUUAUAUCAUGAUAUCGUAUCAUAAUAAAUGUUAUGCUCCUAUGUGUCAUACAUAACAACAAAUAAGGCCAUAUCUAAGAUACUAAUACACGAUAUUAUGCAUUAUAGAGGUAAUAUGAUAGAAUAGUAUCAUAUGCAUGAUAUGAACUUAUGAUAUGUACAACUCAUUACGGGAGCCUUAGCCACGCAAAUGUAUGGGUCAUUUUGCUAUAAAUGAUCCUUCUGACGUCAAACUGCACGCAUUAUUGCACAGAUCACUUGCGUAGAAUUUAGCACAAAAAAUAUUGGUGCGCAGGGUAUAUGCUAUAUCAAAGUCAACCACAGUUAAUUAAGUGACACGAAUAAGAACUAGCUGUAUUCGCAAAAAAAAUGAAUAAGAACUAACUAGGUUUUCUUAUUAUUUUAUUGGCGGUGUAGUACUAGCUAUCCAGCUAUGGCUAUCCUCGCAUUGGCUCCCUAUAAAUAGCAUCCUGCUCCCUCAUAUGGACAUGUACCAGUUAAGCAGCCAGCUAGCUCAUCUCCAUUGCAUCUGUUCUUGCUCUAUUCUCCAUUAGAACCUCCCAAUUCAUCAAUGGCUUCAUCUCUGAAGGUGGCCGCUGUCGUCGCGGUUUGCAUCCUGCUUGUCCUGAACAUGGGCCAGCCGGCGGCAGCCACAGAAUGUGAAGAUUGUCUAGGCGCCUGUGUUGGCAUCUGCAUCGCCUACGCUGAAACAUCAUGCACCGGCAUAUGCACCGCCAUAACUCCUGCAUGUCAGGCAUGUAAGGACGCGGCCUUAAUUGAGUGCGGUGCAACAUGCUAUGGCGGUUGUACCCUCCUCUGCUAAACCACCGGCCGGCUGUGCCCUGUUGCUCGCCGUAAGCUAGGUGCAUGCUUGUGUUCGUUGUUACUUCGUUGUUGCUAUUAUAAGCCAAAUAAGCGAACUAAUGCCGUUGCUGUGUGCAUGUGGCAAAAGUUCCUUCGUUUUAUUGUUCCACCUCGUUUCAACCAUCAGUAAAUAUACUUGUGUGCAAGUUGUGUAUGUUUUGUGCUUCUUCGUACAUAUCAUGUGUCCAAUGUGUUGUCAUACUUAAACAAUAGGGAUAUAUCCUUAUCAAGAGAACGCAGUUCCAAAGUAUGUAGUUUCGCUUCCCUCACGGUAGGGUUUCUUCUUUCACUCAGCGCCUCAUAGUGGCGUAAAGAUUGCAUCUAAUUCCUUCACAACUUGUCUUCUUCCAGCAUAAAACUCCGUCCUAAAUUUUCUAUGAUUUUUCUUGUUCACCGAAAAUACUAGUUUCCUUUGCUGUGCUUGAUCGUUCAUGAAUUAUUCCAACUAGUUCCAUGCAAGACUAGUUUAAGACCAUGGACGGAUUAAUGUUAAGUGGUAGCUUAUUAUAUUGAUGCCAACUCCAUUAUAUGUAGAAGGGUUGACACCAUGGGCCCGCAAAGUAAACCAAUAUAUGGAAUUAAGCAUGCAAUUUAGGAAUACUUAAUGUGUAGUCUCCGUGGUAGCGACCAAAAUAUUGCAAACAGCGAUUUUCUAAUGCUAAGGAAUCAUUACUUUGAACAAGUUUCUCGGUGCUAGUUGCGUGUAGUCUAAUACGUAGUGGCAUUCAUGAGGAAUUGUGCCAAUCAAUGGAUAAUAUCUUAGUAGUCGCAUAUUACUCCGUCCAUUUGAAAAUACUUGUCGAAGAAAUGAAUAAAAAUGGAUGUAUCUAGAAGUAAAAUACGUUAGACACAUCCAUUUCAACGACAAUAUUUCUGGACCGCUCAUUGAUAUGGUCUAAUCUAGCAAGAACUACUAUUACAAGUACUUCGCAGCUACGUGCACCUGCUUCAUCGAGCAGGUUUACAUUCGCGGGGUGGGUAAUAAAAUGAGCGGCCCUGGUGUGCCCUAGUCGUAGUUGCCGACAUGCAUGGGUCAGCCGCUACGUACUUUCUUGCGUGUAAAGAGUGACCAAUGACACAGAUUGCGUGUAAAGAGUGCCUCUCAGCAGAAAAGCCCCCAAAAUCCCAUGAGACCUUAUUUUUGGGAUUUUAUAUGAUAACUAUGUAUGAUACUGCAUCAAUUAAUCACAAAAUAAUUUAUUUAUUAUUUUUAAAUAUAAAUAUAACUAUUUUGUGCCCAAGGGAGGUGGGGUCAGACCCUGGCCUCGGCAUUCUCAUACCGGUUCUGGCAGGCCCAACCAUUUUAACAUAUUUAUUUAUUUAUUUAUUCCGUGACUAAGCCGUUUUAAGUACUUGGUCAGCAAUCUCUAACCAAUGAUAAGAUCACAAGACAAGGCCUACUAUCUAUCUUCAUAGUCAACUGUGCCGCUAGUCACACUACUCCAAUCCAGUUAUAUUGAUGCGUGCUCAUCAUCAGUUCACCAUGUUUUAAAGCAACCGAGUUAUCUUUCUUUUUUGCGUGAAAGCUCCGUCUUUAUAUUAAAAUACUUCCAACAUUCCGGAAAAAAUAUCGUUGAUGUGGUUAAGAAGCAAUUUAACAAUACUUAGUGGGCAAUCUCCAUGACAACCAUCAAAAUAUUGCUAGCUAGUUUUCUAAUGCAAAGGAAUUAUUGCUUUCAAUAAGCUCGGUACUAGUUGCAUUGUUGUCUAAUAUGUGACGUUGGUAAGAAAUUGCCUCCAGCAAAGGAUAACAUCUUAAUUAACAUUAAGAGCUAGAGCCUUGCCUAUUUUUUCCUAGAAACUGGGCCAACGUUGUCGCGUACGGAUUAAUAAAGUAGUAAGUAUUCUGUAUUUUCUCAUUGAUAUAUAGGAAUGGACCAGUGUAUAUGUGGAGUGCACACAAUCCCUUGCUGGAACUAAGCCGUUUUAAGUACUUGGUCAGCAAUAUCAAACCAAUGAUAAGUACACAAGACUGGGCAUCCUUUAUAACACUAAGCUCCCUAGUUUUAAUGAGCGUACAUUCAAUUGAGGUUUCCAGUUAAAAUUGAGUCCCGAUUUUGACCGAGUCAACAAUUUCUCAAAGCCCCAUGAUUCUAUUCUUUUAUUGCUUUCUAAUUUUUUAGGCCUCACAACUAAUUGAUGUAUUAAAUUUAGAAUUGGGUCAUCCAAAUUUGAUCGAGUCAACAAUUUCUCAAGCUCACACUUUCAAUUCUUUUCAUUCACCAUAUUCCAAAAUUUUGAAGCUCUCAUUCAAUUGAGGUAUUCAAUUUUGAUUUGGUUUACUGUUUUGACUGGUCCAACGAUUUUUCAAAUCAAUCAACAACAACCGACCUAUAAAAACAUAUCAAUCCUCCGCACCCUCCCACCACCUAAAAGAAGCAUCGUCAUGUGAUACUAUAGCAUCAAUAUAGUACAUGCAAUCAUCGACACGGAAAUGUCCACACAUAAUUAUAGGUUGUUUAGCCAAUAACACGGAAUCACACCAUGAAAGGCGCACCAAAUCACCGCAUUAUAAGUAAAAAUAAACCACACUAUCAUCUCUUCCACCCGCCAAACUAAAUAUUCCAUCAGCUAUAAAAUAUAAGGGGUCCCCAACACGCACGAGGAUUAGCCCCCGCGUCGUCUUCCUGGCGGCUCGGGGGAGAAAAAACCCUAGCCACCGCGACUCCUCCCCCUCCCCUCCUAGUCUCGCCGCCGCCGGAGGGGUCGCCCUGGAAAAGGCCGGGCGGCCUUGAGGAAGCUGGCGGCGGGGCAACGAUUCCCUUUUGGUGGCGCGAGCAUGCGAGAGCUCCGCGCGCGGCAGAGGAGUUGCGGACGGCGGCAGCCACCGCCACGGGACGGGAAAAGCACGGCGAUCCAGUUGGCCUGGCGCUGCGGGCGCACCAUGCGUGGCGACGGUGUGGCCUAUGAUCUCCUACUUGGCGGCUUGGAUCUGGGGCUUCUGAUCUGGGUCGGGCAUCCAGGUUGGGGCUUUGCCUGGUGUCACGGUGACGGCUACUCUGCUGCGUGCUGGCCUGUUGGUGGUGGCCGGCCAGGAGGCGGCGGUGGAUCUGGCUUCAGAUCUAUCCGGUGGCAAGUUUGGAGUGGCAAGACUUUCAGAGAAAACCAAGCCUCAACUACGGUCAUGGUGGACGAUGGCGGCGUCUUUUGGCGUCGUUACCUUGUCGAAGGCAUCGUCAUAGCAAGUCGCGUCACUCCUUUCGGCCUGCUCUGGGGGAAACCCUAGAUCUGUUGUCAUGGAUCGGGCGAUGGCGACGUCAGGCACCGCGCUCCUUGCUGGGGGCAUCGUUUUGGAGCAGGUACCGACUUGGGUGGACAGGUGGUGGAGCGGCGUGGUAUCUAUCGCUCAUCAACGACUGGUCUCGGCGGCGUGGCGCAGCGGGGUCUCGCUGACAGAUGCGAGAUGAUGGACGCCCGCAGGGGGGCGGCGCUGUCUGGCGUCAUGGUGGUGUCGACAGCAGCUAGACCCGGCGAGGUAGAUGCAAUAGUACAUCACUGAAAAUGGAUUGGUGGCAGGUGGCUGCGACGGCCUCAUACCUGGUAGGCGUCCUGGUUGAGGAGUACGCCGGACUGGUGGGUGCCCCAUACCCGGCAGACGUCCUCGUUGGGACCUCAGGUCUUAGAUGUUUGGUUUGGUUGUGAGGUAUGUUUGUUAUUAGGCCCAGACUAUCAGCAUCCCUUCAUCAACUGGAUUGGAGUAAUGACAGAUGUUGCCUAGACGGUGACUUUAGUCUUACUAUUGUAUGACUUUGUAAGGUCUUAUGUGAAUAAUUAAUAAAGUGGAUGCAUGCAUCGUCCAGAUGCAGAGGCCGGGAGUCCUUCUCCUUUUCUAAAAAAUAUAAUAAAAUAUAAAGGGUAUUAGGUUUUUAGAAAGACAAAUUUCUUUAGCUUUGACCAAGUUUAAAGCAAAACAUCGACAUCCACAAUAUUAAACAAAAAAAAAGUAUGGAAAUUCAAUUUUUUUUGAUGAAUCUGAAAAUACUGAUUUGAUAUUAUGGAUUUUGAUAUAUUUCUUUACAAAUUUCAUCAAACUUAAAAGGUUUGACUUUUCAAAAACAAUAAUACAUCUUAUAUUUUGAAAAGUGUGAUUAUUUUUUUAACAAAACCAACAAACACGAAAGUAUAUUUUGGUAUAUUAAAUAUAUAUUUUUGCUUUGAAAAUAUAUAUUUGUUGUAGUCACCUUGUUUUGUAUGAGGAAUUCAUCAGCAAGGAGUGCCAAGAAAUAGUCAGUUGUACUAAAAGCUGAACUUUCAAUGCUUUUAAUAGAAAGAACAUUCGUACAUAUUAUUUAAGAAUGCCUAAAUUGAUCCUAUGCAUGUAGUAAGAACACCUGCGGUGUUAUAUUAUUAAGUAUGCAGAUGUAGAUUAUAGGAUAAUUGGACAACUAAGUAUUCGGGAUUACUCUGGAAAUACACAGUAUGAUCUUCAUAUCGUUAUACGAAGUGUGUAUAGCCCUUUUUACUAGUGAGUAAGGGUGCUCAGUCAGAUCAGAAUGCUUUAUGGUCGAACCCGGACUGCCAACAGGAGUUGAUGACUGAGAAAUCUUCGAUUAAACAAGGUAAUCAUGAGCACCCAUAAUCUUGUCGGUGUCAUGGAGGGAACUAGAGGAAGAGAUUCCGAUCAGUCGUGGCCUCAUCAACUUCAGCAAGGGAAUCACCGAGGAACUUGGACUAUGAUGCAUACUCAGCGACCGACAUGGUGCCCUGCAUGAGAAUGCAGUACUUCCUGUUAAGAUGAAUGGCGUGGGUGGCAUUGUUGUUGAGGAAGUACUGGUGGAGGCGAGUCCAUGCUGAUAAGACAAUGUCGUCGGAGGACAUUGCCAGGUCCAGAAGACUACCGCCGAUAGUUGUGUAGAUCCAACAGAAGAUCCCGGUGUCGGUACAUCGCAGCUUGGGAUCGUCGACGUAAAGUUUGAACGUCAUGUUAAUGUGGUCGAGUACAACGCCGUAACGCAGGUGGAGAGGAUGAACAGCAAGAAAUCAGACGUUUAUGAUAGUUGUUGGUGGGUGGGUCCAGUUUGAAAGGGAUGUAAGAGUGGAUGUUGGUAUUGUACACGGCAAUGGGGGCCUGAAGUUUGAAAAAUUAAUUGGGAGGGUACGAAGAGAGAGUUGAAGCAGUGGUGAUGAUGGGAACCAUGGCGCCGACAGAGAAACUAGGAGAGGUCUGCAAGGUUUGCGCCAAAAGGGAGGUGGCACUGGAAUUGGUCUGGGUGUUGCUCAAUGGCGAGCAGAUGGCUCUGAUUACAAAGGUGAAUUAUAUAAUGCUUGCAUCCAGGUUUACAAGUGUCGAUGUACAACACAUCAGAUAAUGAAUAGAGAGAGCCCUAACUAACUGCAACAUACGGAAAAAGGCACCCACAGGUGCACGAGAGAUCUUCGAUCCUAACCUCUAAGGACUAUGGUACAACACGAGCUUUGCUAUACCUGCGGGGGCUCGUGUGGGGAGGGGGUUACGUAAUGUUUUGCCAAUUUCUAAUUGUUCAUUGGUGGGGGCGUGGGGCCCAUCCUAAAAUUCAGGGGUGUGUUUGAUUAGUUCAGAAUGAAGUUACGUAGGAUGCAUUACGUAGUUCUAGCAUGUUUGGUAGUACGGGUACAACGGUACAUACAGAUGAUGCAUUGUUUAACAAUAUUAAAUUGAAAUCAUGUACUACAAGGGUUAGCAAAUGGCAAAGACUAACAAUUCUCAUGUCAAAGUGCAAACAUUCAAUCAUUGGUGCACAAUGAACAUAUGAUAUUGAAGUCAACAACAGUUAAAUUAAACAAUAUGGAUCGCACUCAAAAAAUAUUUAAGUGAUACAGAUCAGCAAAUUUGCUAGUUCUGGUUUUUUUUUUGUGAGGUGGAGAAAGAAUGCUAGCUAGCUAGCUAGCUAGUUCUGGGUAGUCCUCACGUUGGCUGCCUAUAAAUAGCAUCCUGCACCAUCAUAUGGGAAUGCACCAGUUAAGCAGCUAGCUAACUCAUCUCCAUCCAUCGCAUCUCUUCUUCCUCAAUCCUCCACUAGAACCACCCACCCAAUUCAUCAAUGGCUUCAUCUCUGAAGGUGGCCGCUGCCGUCGCCGUGGCCGUUUGCGUCGUGCUUGUGCUGAACAUGGGCCAGCCUGCGGCAGCCACAGAAUGCAAAGAUUGUCUCGCCGACUGUGUUGACGUUUGCGUCGACUACUCUGACACUGCGUGCAGUGGCAUCUGCACCGCCAAACCUCCUGCAUGCCAGUCAUGCAAGUACACGUCCUUCCUUACAUGCGGUGGCACAUGCUACGGCCCCUGUGCCCACUUCUGCUAAAGCCUAUAGUGGCUGUAAGCUGUCUGUGUGUGUUGGUACCUCGUUGUUGCUAAGCCAUGUAAAUAAGUGAACAAAUGCUAUUGCUCUGUGCAUAUGGCAAAUGUUCCUUCGUUUUAUUGUUCCCCUUUGUUUCAACCAUCAGUAAAUAUACAUGUAUGUGUGCAAGUCAUGUACUCCUAUAUAUGCUUUCUGCUUCUUUCUAUCAUGUUUCUGACCUGCUCAUGCUGGGGUGGAUAUCAGGUGAUACCACCUAUUACAUGCUCCCAUGCUAAAAAAAUUAAAAAGUCAUAGUUAGAUGUUUCAAAAAAAUUGAAAACAAUUAUGGAUGUUCACAAGACAUACGCCUAUAACCCCUAAAAAUUCAGAUCAAAAUUCGAAAUAUACAUUGAGAAACAAAAAGACAAAUCUAUAUGUCAUGUUUUGUCUUCUUUUACACUAUUCAUUCUAGAUUUUUCAUUUUUGUUUCUCAAUAGGUAUCUCAAAUUUGGGUCAGACUCUUUUAGGGGUCGUAGUCAUAUGUCUUGUGAACAUCUACAAAGUUUUUCAGAACAUCUAAAUGUGAUUGAUAGCUAGCAUAAAUAUCCAUCCAUGAUAGAUCCUUCUUCCUUCCACUCCGCCAUCAUGGAUUGGACUUGGCUUUGGCUUUGGGGCUGGUUCAUCUGAAGUGCUCCCAGACAUAGAGCUCUGACCUAUUUUCCUAAGAAAUUGGACCAAUGUUUUCAUACUGACGAAUUUAGGAAUAGUUCUGCUGCAUUUUGUUCAUUGAUAUAUACGGAUAGGGCAGUGUAUAAGUGGAGUACUUCGCUGAUGCCAGCAAGUUAGUAACCAUCACUUACACGCGUUAACAAAUUCUUCUGUAACAAGUAGUUUAAUAUCAUUCACAAAUUAAUGUCAAGUGGUAGUAGCUUCUUCUAAUAAUGUCAACUCCAUUCACCAAUCAUUCAGGAUCAUGACAAAUCAAAGAAGGUUCCACACCUUCAUAAAUUUGGCGCCACCUUUUACCGAUUAUAAAGAUCCAAAUUUCAGCGAUUGUGUUGUGGAUGCUCUUAAUCUUGUAUUGUUUCAUCCAUUGACACACCCAUUCCGUAAAUGAAACGAUUGAAACAACUUUUAAUAUUAGAGUUAGUGAUGACAAAUUCAUGAAAUUUAUUUUUUAGGGUGUUUUAAAAUAAAAAACAAUGUGUCCUUACCUGAGCAUUUUUAAGUGAUUUUGGGAAGUGAAAUCACACAAGAACACUGUGUGAGAGCCGAAAAUAAAAAAGAAAUGUAAAAGAGUUAGUACAUCGGGCCUGCGUGACCAUCUCCAUGGUACAGCUAGGCUACUGCUGGAGAACGUUUCCCACAGCGCUUACAAGCCCUAAUAUCUACUCCUCCAUCCAGAAUUACUUGUCGCAUAAAUAGAUGGAAAUGAAUGUAUCUAGAAUUAAAAUACAUCUACAGACAUGCAUUCUUCCGACAAAUAUUUUCGGACGGAGGGUGUAUCUUGGGCCAGUGACCAGCAACAUCAGAUAGCAUUAGUUAUCUUCUCUCCUUUCCAUAAAGGGAGGAAUGAUCGGGCCAAGGUCGCCUAAUUUUGCCAUGGCCUCUAGCCAACCACCCCAUCGGGCGUAGCCAAGCCAUGAACGCUUCUCUUCUCUCUUACCGGAGCCUGAUUUUUAGGCUAAGUAUCGUAACUAGUAUCAGACAUGCCGAUUAUGCAAUUUUAAUGAGGUGGCAUAGAAAUCUAUAAUACUAUGCAUUACGGAGGUAGUAUCAUACACUAGCAUAUGAUACUAAUAUAUGAUACUCCCCACUACAACCAGCCUAAGUAAUCAGGUGCUCCAAAGUGAAAAUGUGUGUCUAGUGUGCAUAAUAAAGUGCCUAGGUGGACAAUACAUGCAUGUCCAUCCUUGGGCAGCAUAGCAGCCAACCCUACCCUACCACAUGCUGGCAAUUGUUUAUUAUGUUGAUCUCAUGUCAGUGUGGCCAUGCGAGUGUUAAUUAAGUAUUACUAAUACUUGUCGUUCAAACGGAUGUAUUUAGAAACAAAGUGAGACCUUCAUCUCGUGAGAAAGACCGCCGAUGGCUACCGGCCAUCGCCCUCGCGCCAGGAAGAGUACGUUGCCGUGCAGUCCGCCGACGUGGAAGACAAGUUUAUCAAGUUUAUCAAUUCUACUUGCAUAUAGUACUCCCUCUGUUUUUAUUUAGUUCGCAUAUUAGCUUUGGUCAAAGUCAAACUUUACAAACUUUCAUCAAGUUUAUUAACAAAAAUAUUAUGAUAUACAAUAACAAAUCAACAAUAUUAGAUUUAUUAUUGGAUGUACUUUCACCUCGAAUAGAUUUAUUAUGAUAAAUGUCUAUAUUGUUUUCUAUAGACUUGGUCAAACUUUACGAAGUUUGAUUUUAGUCAACUCUAAUAUGCGGAGUAAAUAAAAAUGAAGGGAGUAUAUUGUCUAAUAAGUAAUAACCUUCGUAAGGAAUUGCGCGGAUCCAAGGACACCAUCUUAAUUAGCAUACUACUAAGAUUCGAAGAUAUAUGCUAUGCAUAUUAGAUUCGCCUCAAGUCAAACUUUAUAAAUUUUGAUCAACUUCGUCCAAAAAAUUGUGAACAUCCACAAUAUGAAAUCAACAUCACUAAAUGCCGGCCUAGAGAGACACGAGAGCUUCUACGUGGCAUGCCAUCAACCUUCAACCCGGGUAGUGCGAAGUCAACCGCUCGAGCUGAUUCCAUCCAUGCACGCAUCAGGCCGACCUCCAACCGGGAUAGAUGCCCUUAAGGCAUAUACAAUGGUACUAUCUUAGAAAUGUCAUGUAGGAUAAUUACUAGGAUAAAGGAAAGAAAAACAAAUAAAAAAAGUGUUCCAUUUCUCUUACUUAUGAGAUGAUCUGUUAGCCCCAUAUCUUUUACCAUUACUCCUUGCAUAUGAGAAUAUAUUUUUAUUGCGGAUAAAACUAAGAGAUACCCCAUUCUACCCGUGAUUUUAUUAUCAUCUCUAAACUACAUGGUAGGCUUCAAAGAUAAAAUUGUUUUUUCAACCAUUGUACAUGCCUUUAGUAGGUUUUUGGCUGGGGUACCAAGUAUAGUUUUUCAAGAAAAGUCUCCUUCCUCCUUCCGCCAGCGCUGCUGCCGAUCCGCCCCACCUCCAAUGGCCCUUGGGCCGUGGAGGUGCGGAGGACCUCGGCGGGAGGGACCCCGUUCUCUUUUUCGUUAGGUUCAAUGUCUUGAUUGGAACUGUGUGGCGGUGGCGAUGUCCCUCUGUACAAAUAAUGUCACCCACGUCAUAUCCCUGUCCCAAUGGUGCGGAUAGCAUCGUCGGAGGAUGUGUGGAGGUGUGUCUUCAUCAGAUCUCGUGGAAUUCGGUCGGUGCUAGUCUUCGGUGGAUCUAGUUGGAUCCAGUUUUUGGUUAUCUUCGUUCAUGUGGUUUCAGGUUUGAUCUUUCUGAUCUGCAAGUCUCUUCAUCGGUGAUGGUUGCUGCUCUAGUGCACGGUUCUUUUGGGGCCUUGGCACGAUGACUUCCUGGUUGUCUACUAUAACAAGGUUUGUCCGGCCCUGGUGAGGCAGGGGCGAUGAUGGCGGCAAGCCUUCGGCUCGUUCCAAUGCUUGUAGUCGUUGGUAGGUGGUUCAUAGGCCUGGUUGUAAUUUUAUUACAUUUUGUGUUCUCUGUAUUGCCAUGAUUGAUGAAUGGAUUGGAAAUUUCUCUCGAGACAAAAAUUAGGUUUUUGGCUAAUAGUGAUAAAUUAUGUGGCAUGCACAUGCGGCGGUACCAUAAUCAAGGUGCCUUCACGUGCUACGUGGAUGGACAUGCAUAGCCCUACCACGUGCUAUUGUUUAAGUUGAGCUCAUGUCAACAAACACACCGCAAAUUAAUCUAGUUGGUCAAACCAAAUCAAUAGAUCGAAGAAGAAAUACAGAGCUAUAACAAUCAUGCAUAAAAGAGUUCGGAGAAAACUCAAAUAAUAUUCAUGAAUAGAUCUGAUCAUAAACUCACAAUUUAUCGGAUCCCAACAAACACACCGCAAAAAAGAAUUACAUCGGAUAGAACUCCAAGAACAUCAAGGAGAACAUUGCAUUGAAGAGCAUCAAGAGAGAAGAAGAUAUCUAGCUACUAACUAUGGACCCGUAGGUCUGUGGUAAACUACUCACGCAUCAUCGGAAGGGCAGCAAGGUUGAUGUAGAUCCCCUCCAUGAUUGAUUCCCCCUGCGGCGGAGUGCCAGAAAAGGUCCCCGGAUGGGAUCUAUCGAGAACAGAGGCUUGCGGCAAUGAAAAAGGUAUUGUGUGGACUCCUUUGUUGGUUUCCCGAUUUUCAAGAAUUUAUAGAAGCAGAGUUAGGUAAAACAAAGCUACGUGGGUCCCACAAGCUACAGGGCGCGCCCUGGUGCCUUGUGGGCUACUGCUCCAUCUUCUCAUCCCCUCCUAAAGCUUCCAGGGUCUCUUGCCAGAAAAAAAAUCUCCAAAAAAAUUUUGUGGCAUUUAGACUUCGUUUGGUACCAAAAAAUAGCAAUUAACACUAGGCACUAAGUUAAUAGGUUAAUCCAAAAAAAUGAUAUAUAGUUGCGUGUAAGUAUAUAUAAAAUAUCCAAGAUUAAUAUUAUAAUACCAUGUAACAAUAAAAAAUUAUAGAUACGUUGAAUACAUAUCAACAGAAAAGGGUUGCGGGAAGGAUAAUGCCGGGAACAUAUUGUGGAAAAGUUUUGCGGGAAAUUGCGGGUGCCGGAAUAAAAUUACGGUCCAAAAUAUGGUUCCAUUCAACCAUUGGCUGAAAAUUUUGGUCUCAUGCAGCUGUCGUCUUAGCCUAAGCCGAUUUGAACUAAUCGGCUUCAGCCUUCUCUAUUAGUACUAAUUGGCUACGGUUAAGAUGCUUAGUUCCAAUCGGCUUAGUCUAAGAUGACUAGAGCUAGUCGGCUUAGGUUAAGCCAACUGGACACUAACCAGCUACGUCGUGGCAGAUUGGAUCUAGUCGGCUUAACCUAAGCCGAUGCUGGAUUAUUUUUAUAAUAUACAAACCGUGUAUUACUUUCCAAAUUGAUUACAAAUAUAUCAUUUUAAAAAAUUAGCCUCAUUCUACCCUCAUGUUUAGGAUUUCGUUCAUUCCAGAUUGUCUUGAUAUUUUUCUUCGGUUCACACCGUCGUAUUAAAUGACAAAAACGGUCCCAAUAAUUUGGUCAUAAACAUGGGGGCGGAAUGUGUUUCCAUCUUGAAGAUGUAUGUCCUUAAGGCGUAUACAAUAGUACUAUCUCAAAAGUGACACAUAGGAUAAUAACUAGGGUGAAGGAAAGANNNNNNNNNNNNNNNNNNNNNNNNNNNNNNNNNNNNNNNNNNNNNNNNNNNNNNNNNNNNNNNNNNNNNNNNNNNNNNNNNNNNNNNNNNNNNNNNNNNNNNNNNNNNNNNNNNNNNNNNNNNNNNNNNNNNNNNNNNNNNNNNNNNNNNNNNNNNNNNNNNNNNNNNNNNNNNNNNNNNNNNNNNNNNNNNNNNNNNNNNNNNNNNNNNNNNNNNNNNNNNNNNNNNNNNNNNNNNNNNNNNNNNNNNNNNNNNNNNNNNNNNNNNNNNNNNNNNNNNNNNNNNNNNNNNNNNNNNNNNNNGCUCGCCUACUAGCGGGGAUCCAUCCGACGGCGCUGCAAGAUCCGGUGUGGUGGGCCUCUUCGCCGGCGUCGGGGGGUGGAUCCGGGGCUGCUCAGGCCGGAUCCGGCGCGUGGUGGUGCGGUGCUGAUGGCGGCGGGAUCGAGCGCGCGAGGUCCUGCUGGUCCGAUGUCUCGUGGCGGCUCGUCAUGGCUCUGUGGUGGGCGCUGGCUGGAGGAGGAGAUGCCCGACGCAGCUGGCUGGUGAUGGCGUGUCGCUGUGAAGCGCGCAGGCCGGUGGCGGCUUGGUGCUCCUCGCCGCGGAGGCGCUCGAGCCAGGCCAGAUCUGCGCUGGCUGGAGGUGAGGGCUCAUGGCCGGCGCACGACAGGUGAGGUGGUGAUGCGGAGGGCCUGACGGGGUGUGGCAGAGGAGAUGUGGCUCGAUUUGGUGGGGGCGGCGCCAGCGGGAGGCAGUGCUGGGUUCUCACGGGCAGGUUGGUGGCGCGCUGUGAUGGCUCCGUCAAGAUGGAGCCUUGCGAGCAGCGAGCGGUCGGUCAUCCCUGUGCGGCGUGGCGAGCGGCGGUGCUUUCCUGGUGAUGCCGGCCUGGGAUUUCUCCGUGGAGAGGCGGGUCUGAUUGUCGCAAGGCCGUUCCUUGGAGUGGGUGACGGCCGUCGCGGGCAGUCCUGGACCUGGCCGGAGGUGUUGGUUGGCUGCGGACCCUCGUGCAGGCUGGGAGUGGAUGGUGUGGCCGUGGUUUCCCUGCCGGGUAGUCGGUCGUUGGUCCUCGGCUAUGCAGCUACUUCGGCAAGUGCUGCGGUGGCGGCGGUGUGAGGCUUCUUGGCAGUGCUACCAAUCCCAUGGAGGCGUGGCGAUGUGCGAAGCGCGGAUGAAAAUUUUGCACGGCUUCUGCCGGGCCGGCGGUGAUGGCACCUGUGGAUGUCAUUCCCCUCCUUGGAGGCAUCGUCGAGUUUGUUCGCCCCAUCCCUCGCGCUCUCGGUGUUGGUGGAUGUCUCCGGGUGAAAGCCUAGAUUCGAUGUUCGGAUCGACACGAUGGCGGUGUCCUCGACGCCGCUCCUCUGUUGGGAGCAUUGUGUUUGGAGACAUGACUGGUUCCUCGUUGCUCUCCUCCGGUGUUCGCCGCUAUCCUUUUCUGAUCUUCAGUGGCGCUAUGUACGUUGGUCGACGGUGAAUCCAAGGCGGUGUCUUCCCGGAUUGGAUCGAGUCCUGCCAUUCAUCUGCCACUUUCUCUUAGGCGCUCAGGGUGGAUGGUGCGUCGACAAGAGAAGUUCUGCGGAAGUGUGGUCUUCGGAGGUGUCCGGCGUCGGUCAGAGACGCGGUGCUGUGUAUCAGUUUAGGAUAGGCUUUUUGCUUUGUAGCUUGCCUAGCGGUGGUGUUUGUUUGUGGUCUUGUCGGUGUGGUGUUCGUGCUACACUCGUUGUUCGCAUCGCUUUCUUGUAACUAAAUCCUGCCUUCUAUAAAGCUAUGGUACGCCUAGGCGUACUCUCAAAAAAAAAGAAAGAGAAACAAAUAAAAAAAUGUUCCAUUUCUCUUAAUUAAAAGAUGGUCUCUCAGCACGAUUUUUGUUACCAUAUACUCCUUGUAUUUAAGAAUGUUUUUUUAUUAAAGACAAAACUAGAUGAUAAUCCAUUAUAUCCACGUGAUUUUAAGUUGGUUUUUGCCUAAUAGUGCAUGGCAUGCACAUGCGGACCAUCAUGAAGCCAUGAAGGUGCCCCCUCUGGAUGAACAUGCAUGUCCUUGGGCUGGGCAGCAGCGUGCUACUGAUACUUGUUUAAGCUGAGCGUCAUCUGAGUGUGGCCAUCAGGCAACAAGAGAGAAGACCACCGAGAUCUGCCGAUGCCCGCCGUCGCGCCCGCGCCGGAGGACCAUGUGGCCGCGGACGCCACCAAGCUCGUCGCCCUCCACUUGGAAGACGAUGAGCGGCAAGGGGGCUGCUGCUGCUGCUGCGG